rnacentral:lncRNA from 1 species
UGUAAACCUUGGCGCCGUAUCAUAUCAGAUCCUCAGUUUGCUAAGAUGCAUUUUGCCAGUGCACAGCCUUGUCCUCUGGUUAGGACUUUGGGUAACUCAAGAGUUUCAAGAAUGCUUUACCUAAUUGAACCGUCCGAGAUUAAUGUGAGCUACAAUUCAGAUAACUAUUCUCCUGAUGGGGUUAAUUUGAAGCUAGAGACCAAGUUGAAGAUCCCGCUGCGCAAUGCUGAAAUGGUGCCUCAGAAUCCUAGUGGUGCCAAAUUGAGUCUUUGCAGUAAGGGUGGCUCUAAGAAGCGUUGCAUGAAUGUGAGAACCAUAAAAGUGAGGACGAAAGAGCAGAAGUUCCAAAUUGUCAAUUCAUGCAAUGGAAUUCUUUGCUUGUCAGAUCCCUCAUAUAACAAUCCUCUUGCCAUAUGUAACCCAGUAACAGGCGAGUAUUUAAACCUUCCAGCGAUAGAUGAAGUUGAUAACAGCUUGAAUGAUAUAGUAUCUUGUGGAUUUGGCUUCAGUGAGAAGACUAACGAAUAUAAAGUUAUUAGAUUGUUUGAUCAAGGACGUCCGGAGCUUAUUAGUUGCCCAAUUACAGGUAAAGAAGUUUUUGGUAAAAGAGUGGCUGAGGUACACACAGUUGGCUCAGGAUCUUGGAGACGCAUUGGUCAUGCUCCAUCUUAUGGUUGUGAACUGAGAUUUACUACCUGUCUGAAAGGAUCUCUUCAUUGGAUCCGUAAAGAUGACAGGAAAUUGGAUUUCAUAUACUCUUUUGAUCUCAGCCAAGAGCAAUUUAAAGCAAUUCAGCCACCUCCAUUAGAGCACCGGAUGAAGGAUUGGGAUAAUCUGCGUAAUCUGAGCCUGGGAGUGUUAAAUAAUAGCUUGUGUUUGUGUGUCGGCCCAGUCUUUGAUGACAUCGACAUAUGGGUUAUGCAGAAACAUGGUGAACCCAAAAGUUGGACAAAGUUCAUUUCAAUUAACUUGUCUGUUUAUGAUAGAUGGCCAGUCGGUGUCUACCACCCCAUAAAUUUCCUAGAAAGUAAAGGGCUGUUGAUGUUUCAGUGUCCUAAAAGUGCAUUCAUGUAUUAUGAACCUCAAUUUGAUCAAUGGAAGUACUUCAGAAUUCAAGACAUCAAAAUGAAAUUUGAAGCAGUUGCUCAUACUCCAAGUCUCAUCUUGCUCAAGGAUGUUGUGACUGGUGACAAUGCUGAGAUACUGAAUGUCAAUUCAAGGUGAUGUUUUACUGAGUCUUGAUUUGUCUUAAUUAAACUAUUGCUUUUGAUAUGUUAUUCUUUGUCUCUCCUUUAGGGUACUAGUUGAUGUUGCAUUGGAUCUUAGUCUUGUUCAAUUAAGCUGAGGAUUUAUUUUCCUUUGCAAGGGGUAGACUAAACAAUUACACCCGAUAUUAUAGACCUCUGGGGAAAAAUCUGAUCAUCACAGAUUUAGUUUGUGCAACCAGUUAGGAGCACAUGUAAAUUCCUAUGCUGUUUUGCAUGAAAACAUCACUACUAAAACUCUGCAUCUUCAAAUGAACCAUACUGACAUUUGUUGCUGACGUUCUCUAUAGCUCAAAAUCCAUUAUAUCCGAUAUUAUCAUGCUCAAAAUUGCAUAUCUCUUGUAUGAAUGAGCAAAUGAGAUGACUUGCACUUAUGCGUGUAUAUGCUUAUAAGGCAUUAUUUUUCAUACAUUUUUUACUCAUGUUUUAAAUUGAAGACUUGUAAUUGUGGGUCUAUUUUCUUGAGUUUUAUGUUGAUGCAACACCUGCUCGUGCUUUUCUAGUUGUUGAUUGAGCAUGAUGGUCUCAAAUGAAAUUAAGUGCUAUGCCUGGAUAGAUAGUUUAAUAUAUACUAUUAUAACAGUGUUCAAAGAGGUUUUAUGACUUCAGAAGCUGCAUUUCCUUGUCUAUUAUUUUGUAGUGUCUUUUUUAGAGUUCGCUGUUUUAGCUGUUAAGGACUAAGGACUUGUACAUUUCGUGGGAUCCUCGUGUAUGGCGCUUGCUUGAUGCCAUCAAUCUACUCCGUGUGAUAGAACUUAGUAACUAGGAUUAUAAGUAAUCUUAUCGGCCUGUUGAUCCUGCCAAGUGGUUCAUUUUCCAAAUAGUUUUGCUUUCAUUAAUUUUGAUAUUGUUGUGCAGUAGAAAUGUUUAACUAGAUUUUUUAAUGUGCAAUCAAUCAUUUAGUAUACAAUGACGUAAGGAAAUAAGACUACUAGUUUUGCAGUCCCAAAAUGCUGUCAUUCUUAUGGUAUGUGCUCUGUUUUUUGGUUUACGACUUUCCAUAAGUUUUUUUUAUCAAGUUGUACAGUAUUAGAUACUGUUUGUACACACAUACUGAUUGGCUGCUGUUAGUUUCGGCAAUUAUUAUUUCGUAAUACCCAUAAGGAAUAAUACACAGGUAAGACAACCUUAGCAAUUGGAGAUGGAGCAAAUGAUGUUGGUAUGAUUCAAGAAGCUGAUAUUGGAGUCGGAAUCAGUGGCAUGGAAGGAAUGCAGGUAAAUAUUUGGCUGGCUUCUUUUUUUUUCAUUACUAUUAAUUUCGCGAAUAAGGUUUGAUAAAUUGAAUCCAAGCAUACACAGCAAUUAACUGAGGGAUUCCACAUUGAAAAACAGCAUUUUAUCUACAAGAAUGGAUGACAGCUACUUGCUACUUGUUUAUCAAUUACUAACUAAUAUGGAAUGAGUUUCUGAAACCUUGUGUCAAUGCAACAUGCAGGCGGUCAUGGCAAGUGACUUUUCUUUGCCUCAGUUCUAUUUCUUGGAACGUUUACUAAUAGUUCAUGGGCAUUGGUGUUACAAGAGAAUCUCCAAGAUGGUAAUACUCCAUCCUAUCUUGUGUUGCGUGUAUGCAAGUGCCCAGAAAAGAAAGAUAAUCGACUUUAUUAAGGUUCACUGACACAAAUUUUGUUCUGCUGCAGAUUCUCUACUUCAUGUACAAAAAUGUUGCAUUUGGCUUGACAUUAUUCUACAAUGAAAUUUACAGCAAUUUCUCCGGUGAUGAUCUGUAUGACGAUUGGUAUAUGGUCCUAUUCAAUGUUCUGUUGACAUCUUUGCCUGUGAUUGCACUAGGUGUUCUAGAGCAGGAUGUUUCAGCUGAUGUCUGUCUGCAGGUGAGAAGAAACAAGUUCUACGAUUUCAUAACACUAGCCUUCAUUGUUUGAAACCUCAGAUAAACAUGCAAUUCUCACGCGUCCCCAUCCCUACUGUCCCCUGAAAAAGCUAAUCUUCUUGCAAGAUUUUAACUUGAUUAACCAUUUUACCGUCACUGGAAUAGUUUCCAGCACUUUAUCAACAGGGACAAAGAAACAUAUGUUUCAGCUGGAAACGUAUCUUUGGCUGGAUAUUGAAUGCCACUCUUUCUUCUGUAGCUAUCUUCACAGUCACCAUAUACAUAUUUUCUCCAGCUGCACUCAGACAAGAUGGAAAGGUGGCAGAUCUAGCACACAUCGGUACCAUCAUGUAUACAUGUGUAAUCUGGACAGUAAACUGCCAGAUUGCACUCAUAGUCACACACUUCACUUGGAUUACCCAUGUUCUGAUCUGGGGAAGCAUCUUGUGCUGGUAUAUCUUCUUAGUCUUGUAUGGUAUGCUUCCUCCUGAGCAUUCUCAAGGUGGUUUUCACAUCCUUAUUGAGGCCAUUGGGACUGCACCAAUGUAUUGGAUUGUAACAUUUCUUGUAGUAGUUGUUACACUCCUUCCAUACUUCAUUUUCAGUAUAAUCCAAAGAUCAUUCUACCCCAUGGAUGAUCAAGUGAUCCAAGAGAUCAAGUACGGUAGAACGGAUGUAAGCAACAAACCAAUGUGGUUGAGGGAGCAGCAGAACUCCAGGAAGAGGACUCAAAUUGGAUUUUCUGCAAGAGUUGAUGCAAAAAUUCGUCACUUGAAGGAAAGAUUGCGCCGAACGAAAAAAUGAAUAUACGAAUUUGUCACAAAUAGCUAGUUUAACAAUCAGCUGGAACCAGUCAAGUGACUAAAUGAUUAUUAAGUGUAUAACUUCCUCAUUAUCAUCGAAGUAUAUUGUAAUUAUUUAGCAAGUUAGAAAAUAAAGCAUGGCUAGCAGCUUUAGCAAGGCUUAGAGUUAUGCAGGUGAAGUCCCUAAUCUGCAUUUCUUGCGAACUUAACUUGUCUUGGCUGUGAUUUCUGGUUCUUUUUGGAAGGAAAUUAAACCGAACUGUAUUACCUAAUCUUUUAGUCUAUUGUUUGGUGUGUUGUUUGUCUAGUUUCCAUAUUAGAUUAGGGAAUCUCAAUCAGUUUCCAGUUAGGUUUUGAUUUACAUUUGUAUUUGUUUUAGGAAGUUUUAGAGUUUAUAAAUAUUACUAGUUUAGUAGGUUAUUAAUUAAAGAGUAGAGUUAGGUUGAAUUGAGUCUUUAAAGAUAGAUUUGAGAGAGUCUCAUAAUUGAAUUUGUAAGUUGUCAUUAGUGAAAGGCUAUGACUUGAUAUUUGUUUUUGUUGAGUUUUGAAUUAAAUAAAUUAUUGACUAUUUGUUCUCCUUCUCUUCCCACAUAUUUUUAUAUGUGUCAAAAUUGCUUCCGCUAUACACGUGAUUUUUUGUGCCAACAAGUGGUAUCAGAGUUCUAGAUUCAAGAGUUUGAUUUUGGGUGUCUUUGGUGGUUGGAAAGGUGCAAAAUUUUUUGAUAGAGAAACCUAUACCAUAAAAAGGUAUAAAGGUUGUUAUACGUAUAUUAAAAAAUUGAAUCACAAGAGUUGGUUUUGAAGUACUAGUUCAUUGAUUGGAAUUAGAAAAAAGACCCUAAUUGGACAAAGGUCUAAAAAGAAGGAUUCUGUCAUGAUUAUUGAUGUUAUGCAGUGAUCAAAACAAAAAAGAUCGUGUCAGAUUGUUGAUUGUCAGUUUGUCACAAUAAAAUUUGAUCAAAUCUGAAGCCAGGGAAGUCAAGAAAUUCAAGAAGGGAAGAAAAAAAAUAUUUGUCAAGAUAAGUAAAUUAUUUUGAGUUGUCAUGGAUAGAGAAUUUGUAAGUGAUGAAAAAUUUAAAGUUUUACGCACAUUUAGUGGUGAUAAAGAAAAAUCUGAAUGGUCAAGAAUAAUGCACAAAUAUCUUAAAAAGUGUGGUUUGGGUGAAUUUCUUAAGAUCAAUCAAAAGAAAUUAAGAGAAGGAAGGUCAGAUUAUUUUUCAAAAUAAUGCGAAAAUCAAUGGUUGAAAAGUAUUAUAAAAGGCUUAUCAUCUCUAAUCAAUUGGCUUAGUGGUUUUGGUUAGAUCUCUUUUAUAUUUUGAUGAUAGAAUUUUCAUAUGAAUAUAAUUCUAAGUCAAAAAUUGGUUUGGAACGCAAAGUUAAUUUAAAGAUGAUGUGUUUGUUGAUGAUAAAGAGACUUUUGAAAUUUUUGUUAUGGUUGAAAAUUAUAAUUUGCAUAUUUUGUUUGGGAUGAUUGAUGAAGAAGAAAUUUGUGAUGGAAAAAGAAGAAAAAGAAGUUUUUGAUGAGGCAAAUAAAGAAGAAAUUGUGGGUGCACAUGAAAAUAAAGAAUUUGUGACUCAAGAAAAAAUUUUACAAGUUAGUUGAGAAAGAAAGUGAAAUCAUUGGUCAAAGUAAAGAGGUGAUUAAAGAUCGUGACAAUGUAGAAAUUGUUAAUUUUGUUGAGAUUGAUAAAUUUUUUGAAGAGAAAAAUCAUGUGAUGGAAUUGGUUGAUAUCAAUUAUGAAGUGGAUGAUUUAGUUGAAAAUUGUGACACUAUCAAGGUUGAUGCAGUUGUCAAUGUGAAUCAAUCAACACAAAAAUAUGGUGAGGUUAAAAAUCUUGGUGAAAAAAAUUAUGAUUUUUUUGGUUUUGGGAGAUUUUAUUAGUGACAUGGAUGAAUUGAAUUAUGGAGUAUUAGAUGAAGAAUAGGUGGAUAUGUUUGAAUUUUUUGACAAGAGUGAUCAAUCGAAGAAAUUACUCAAGAAGUAUAAGAUUCAUCCACUACUACGUGUAAAAAUGAAAUUGAAAACCAAUCAUAAGUUGAGAUUGAAUGUUGUGUCUAUCGCAAUCGAGUUUUUCAUGGAGAGUCAAACUCGUGAUAGCAUUGGAGAUGACAAUGAAGAGUUUGGUUUAAGAGAGACAAUGAAAGAAAUUAAACCAAACUGUAUUUAGUUUUGCAAUCCAUUUAGUUAAUUGUUUUGGUGUGUUGUUUGUCUAGUUUUCAUAUUAAAUUAGGAAAUUUCAAAUCAGUUUUCAAGUAAGUUUUGGUUUACAAUUAUAUUUGUUUUAUGAAAUUUUAGAAUCUAUAAAUACUACCAGUCUAGUAGGUUAUUAAUUGAAGAGUUGACUUGAGUCUUGAAAGAUAGAUUUGAGAAAAAGUCUCAUAAUUGAGAUUUGUGAGUUGUUGUGGGCUAAAGGUUAUUGAUAUUUAUAAUUGAGACUUGAUAUUUGUUAUUGUUGAGUUUUGAAUUAAAUAAAUUAUUGAGUAUUUGUUCUCCUCCUUUUCCAAUAUAUUUUUAUAUGUGAUAAAAUUGCUUUCGCUAUGCACGUGAUUUUUGUGUGCCAACAUUUUUUAACUUCAUUAAAAUGUAUAUCCAAACAUAAUUUGUUAAUGAAGGAAAAGCAAGGAAAGAAAGUAGGAUCAAUGGUAAUUUUAUCUUACCCGUUUUGUUUUCAUGGGCAAAGAACAUGGCAAAAAGUUACAAAGUUUGAGAUGGAUUUAAACAUGGGAUAAUUUCAGAAACUUCUCCUCAGGUUUCUGAAAGGUUUUUGACUAUUUUCACUGAUCUCCCUCCAAAUUUUAAAAAUUACAUUAAUCUUCCUUGAGGUUUACUAUCUUAUAAUAGGGAUAAUUUCAGAAACCUCCCUUGAGGUUUCUAACAAUUUCACUGAGGUCCCUUAAAAUUUGAAAAAUUACACUUACCUCCCUUGAUUUGAUAGUUUUAGUAACAAAACCUUAAAAUAAUAUUGACUUGGUCAAAUUUUAAGUGAAUACCCAAAAAUGCCCUGUGUAAUGAGUUUUAAUUUACUUUUUCAUACAAUUAUAAGAUUAUCUUGUAUAAUUAUAAGGAAAAGAUACCAAAAUUUUCAUGUUCAUAACUUCUAUUUGAUAAACAACUAUAAUAAUAGUAAUAAUAAUAAUUUUAUCACUAUGAUAUGAUACUUUUGAUGGUAUUUUAUUAUGGAUUUAGAUUUAUAAGAUAGAAAAGAAAAUGAUUCAUUUAGAAUUUAUAAAUUUUUUGAGCAGUGAGAUUAUCAUAAUUUAGUACUGAUUUUGGGUUAUUUCUUUUUGAUGUGUUAUUAAUUUUAAUGCCAAAAAAUAGAAAACAAAGAUCAACAAAAACAUUGGAUUGCAUAGAAAGUUAACUGAUAAAAAAUUUACUAGUUUGACAUUUGGUUACAAUAGAAACUAGAAGUAAUAGUAGUGUUAAUUCUAUAGUUUUAUUGGAAAAAAUUUUUUAAAAAUGAAUAAGAAUGAAAGAAUGAAAAAAUAAUUUUUAAAAGUCAUUGUAAAUAUAAGCAUACCAAACAAGGGAAUUUCAUUAAAAUAUUUAAGGGUAGUAUUGUCAUUUUAAAUGACGAGUGAGGUAUGUAUAAUUUUUAAAACCUCGAGGAGCUAAAUGAAAUUGUAAAAAACCUCAACGGAGGUUUCUGAAAUUAUCCCCUUAGAAUAUUUAGGUCCAAUCAACAAUUAAAAAGUGAUAUUAGAACAGAGAAGAUAAUAUGAUUUCCCAUUAUCGCUCAUUUACUAAAUUGUUUGAUUAAUCUAAUAUUUGCCCAAAUACUAAAGAAAAUAUUAGAAUUUGUUGUUAUCAUCAGUAAUUAAAUCACAUAUAGUAUCAAAAAUAGUGCAUCAUUUUAUAUAUUUUACUUAUUGUAAGAUCUCAAUUGCACAUUUCAGUUAUAAAUCCAUUAUCAUACAUGAUUAACAACAAAUAAUGAAAAAAAAAAUUUGUAACCAAAAUAUUAUAAAGUGCAAGUUUUAAUACCAUAAAAAUAUCAGCAACUAACUUUAAUAUGUUGACAAGAAUAUUUAUGAUGUUAAAGUUUGUUCUCUAUAAUAUUUUAGUUGCAAAUUUUUUAUUAUUUAUUAUUGAUCAUAUUUAACAAUUGGUAUGUAAUUAAAAAGAGUAAUUUGGAUCUUAUAUUAAGUGAAAAAUAUAAAAUGAUAUACUAUUUUUUGAUGUUAUAUGUGAUUUGAUCCUUAAUGAUAAACAUCAAAUUUUAGUAUUUCUCUUUAAUGUGUGGGUUGGUAUUAAAUUAAUUAAAUGAUGUAGUAGAUGAGGGGCAAGAAUAGAAUCAUAUUAUUUUCGCUAUUUUAAUAUCACUUUUUAAUUAUUGAUUGGUGCUAAAUGUUACAAUAUAAUUAAUCUCAAUGAAUGUUAUUGUAAUUUUUGAAACUCAGAGGUUUCUGAAAUUAUUCCUAAAAACCUCGGGGAGGUUUCUGAAAUUAUCCCUAAAAACAAACAUUACAGAGGAAAUUACAAAUUGCACCAAACUUUGAGGGCCUCAAAGUACUUAACGCCAUUUCUGAAGUAAUCUGUCUUCUCUGCUCAUUAAUUUGCAGGUGUUCUCCGACUCCAUCGGUCUCUCUCUAAUACACGUCACUAACUAUUUUCAGCGAGAGGUUAAAAAUGGUAAUUAAUUGUAGUUAAAUUAAGCAAUCCAAAAUUAGAGCCGGAUUCUAUUUCUAUGGAAUGUUAGAUAGAAUAGGGAAAGAAUUGCCGUGCAAACUUGAGAGUGCCAUUUAUCACCUGAGGAUUAAAGGGUUCCACUGCAAACUAGAAAGUUAGUAAAAUUUUGAUCACCUGAAGAUUAAAAGAUCAUUGAUUUUAUUUCAAGAUUUUUUGACCCUUUUCAGUUUAUUCAUUUUUCUGAUCAGUUUUUACUUGUGUUUUGCAGCCCAGCUGAAUAUUGAAAGAUGUCCGUCAAUGCAGAUACAGAUUCACCAGGUAAUCUCUACUAAAUGCAAGAUUGAUUGUAUUCUUGAUUCAGUUUCUUUAGAACUUUUAACAGGGAAGUUAUAAACCAAGUGAAAUGGUAUAACUUGUACGUUUAAGGUAUUUUGUUAUCUUAAAAUGUACCGCAUUAGGCUUAAAUCUUGCUUCAGGUGACACAUGUAUCUAAUUUUAAUUGUCUACGGAACAUAGCUGUUAAGAGUUAAAGAUGCUAGAAGUAUUUCUUUUCCGUGCUAAAUAUGCUAGGAAGCCAGUUCAUGUUGUUCCGCAGACAAAAGUUUGAAAAGAGGAAAUGCUGUUUUUAAAGUUGAAACCAGACCUAAGUUUCGGAGGAGAUCUAAGAUGUCCAGGCCCAUAGCAGGAUAUAAGUGAUAAGCCUGCCUUUUAAGUAUGCAACAGAGGCCGUAUCUUAUAAUCUUACUGUAAUGAUGCUGACUUGAAUAAUUUGCAACAUAUCAGAAAGAAAUGAAGAAUAAUCUAAUUCCAGAAGCCUAGGUGCAGAGUUUCUUUUUUUUUUUUUUUGGGUUGUCUCAAAUGUGGUUAUAAUGCCUCAAGCUACAGUAAGAAGAUUUAGUGAUGCAGAUGUUACUGCUCUAGCUGUUUGGAAGUAUGUAACUAGCUUUUCUUGUCAGCUGUAUCAAGCUUUUGUCUGGAUUAGAUGUAUAGGAUUUCAGAGUGUUGCAUUGUUUUCCUUUUAUUUUCUGUGGGAAGAGAGACUUGGAGAAAAGUUUUAUAUCUAAGCCUGUAAUUAUUCUCCCUGCAGAAUAUUGAAACAUCAGACUGGCAAUUUUAAACAUCAGAUGAAGGGUGCAGCUACUACAUUCCGUAAUGAACAUGAUCCAUUUGAUUUUAUAAGAUUUUUAUAUGGUAGGUUUAUGCUUUCUAUGUUAUUCUUGAAUAUCAUUGUUGGGUCAAAAGAAAUGUUAACAUAGCAUGGUUAACAUAAGUUUUGUACCGAUGAGCUUUACAUCUACAGACAAAAAUUGCUAGACCUUGUGCAUUAUGUUGCAAAGACAUAUUACUACAAAAUCUGUUGCUAUUUUCAUUUAUUAAUAGCAAGUAGCUACAUGCUUUGUAUGUCCAUAUAGUUUUUCAAUUCUUUAAUUUUGUGGAUUGGAAUUCUUUUCUUUAGUUUUGGGAAGCAAGUUUUCGGUGGGAAUAUAAAGGACAACUCAACAAUGGAAAGCUUGAAAUGAGAUUUGACAAUAAUAUUAUAUAGCAUAAAAGUGGCUUUUAAUUGGUCUGGAUUAUGAUUUUUGUGGGUUUAUCAGCCCUAUCUGUCUCCAUGUAACCAGAUAAUUGUCUAAUGGAUGGUGUAAGUCCUUUUUUUUGGGGGGGGUAAAAUAGUGCAUGCAUUAGUCUCACAAUCCAAGCCGCAGGGAAUGGUUGUUUUAGAUUACAUAUACUGAAAUGUCUUGUAUAUUGGUUUGUGAACAACAAAACGACCUCUAAACAAAAGUAUGUUGAAGUGAGUGCAUGAAAUUUGAAAGUAGUGUAGUCUGACUGAAGCUUAUAGAUGAGAUGGCUGUGUGGAAAUGUCUAAAAUUGGGGUUCUUGCUUUGAAUAAUUGAAUUACUACCACAUGUUUUAACUUUAGGUCGAUGCUAAAGCAUUAACAAAGUUCAGGAACUUGACAAAUGAACUUUUAGUUCUGCUUGCAUUGCUUGGCAUCAUACUAAAAUAUUGGUAACUGACAGUCCUAUCAUAUAGCACUACAAUUUAUCUGUAUAAAUGACUGGCAUGUUCUAGAUAGAAAUGUGUUACCCUUUCAUUGGAAAAGUUGUUUUAUAUAUAUUGGUAGUUUUGUCCAAUCUACAACCCUUUGCAGUAUUCCAUUGUAUGGUUUUGCAGAGGGUGCUGUAGCUGGAGCCACAGCUGGUGUUGUCGUUGAAUCUGUUCUGUACCCAAUUGACACCAUCAAAACAAGACUUCAAGCAGGUUUAUUUUGUUAACACAUUUUGUUGUAGUCUUGUAGAUUAAAAAGUAGCUGAUUAAAAAGAUCAGAUGACAGUUCCACCUGUUGUUUGGUGAAGCUUUACAUUGACGUAUUUCUUCUUGUGAACUGAGGUGAUCUGUUUUGCUUUUCAUUGUUUUAUGGUAGGCAGUUCAUGGUGGAGGAAAGAUCAUAUUAAGGGGUCUUUACUCCGGAUUGGCUGGAAAUCUUGUUGGGGUCUUACCGUAAGUACUUAUAACUGCAACUGCUGUUUUUCUUGUGCUCUACGAGAAACAGAUAGAUGAUAAUGUCAUACAAUGCAGUCUAAAGUUGAUUUGAGCAACCUUGAUUAUGUAGAUUGGGUAUAGAGGCUGCAAUUAUAUUGAAGAUAACUUCUUCCUGUAGAUAUGGCCAUAAUUUGAUUUACUAGUUUUCUAUGUGUUCUGGGAGAAGUGAUGGGACAUUUAUAUUCUUUUCCUAAGAGAUAUAUUAUGACCUACACCUAUUGUAGCUGGAGAGAGACAAAGAGCCCAAACCAGUGGCAGCAUGUUCUUAAUCAGAGAGUCUUCAACUUGGCCUUUAAACAAGAAAAACUUCUUUGUUGUGAUCCAUUAAAUAGUUGUCUUAAUUGACUGGAUCACUUCAAGAAUUGGCGCCACUUAGAAAUUAGAUAGUCAUGGCUUUAUGCACAGCAGGACAUUAAGGGCGCAUCUUAAGUGUUUCUUGUGGUACUUCUACAUGAGCUUCUCCGGGAAUGUAUUUUUGAAUACAAUUGCUUAUCAUGAGACUAAGUCAGAUAAUAGGAAACCCAUUUGCAGAGUGAUGUAGAUGGUUUCUUCUGGAAUCUCUUGAGUCUUUUUAAGAUAACAAGAAGCUUAUACAUAAGGGAAACUAGUGAAGCUUGUAAGGUUAAUGGGUAAGCUUAAGGUAUCAUGCGGCUGGAUGUGUUUAUGUGUAAUCAUUUAAGCAGUCUGCCUCUUUGAAUACUGUGAAGCUCUUAUGACAUGCAUUAAAAACUGUUCACCUGGUUUGGUAUGAUAAGACAUACUAAAUUUUGAAAAUAAUGUAUGUGCUUCGUUACUCUCCAUGAUUUACAUGUUUGGAGGAAGCAAAAUUAAUAUGUUAUUUUUGUUGUCUUUAAUUUUUGAGUCUGUGUUUUCUCCUUCUUUAGCUGCCUUUGCAAGUAAUAUGUGACCACAGAGGCAUGAGAAAGUGGUAAAUCGAGCCACAGGUUCCUUGGAAGGAGUCUAGAAGGAAGAAAUAUAUAAAGUGGUUCUUAAUGAUAAUUAAGAAACAUUGCCUAUGGUAGUCUGAAAAUGGUUAACUGUGGUGCUUUCUGUUUAAUAUAGCCAAAUUGAAUUCUUGAAUCCUGACAUGGGAAUCACUAACAUUAGUUGCACAAAAAAUUUAAUAACUUGUUUAUCUAUUUAUGGUGGCAUUAUCUGCAUCUGCAAGGAACCUGCAUAAUUUCUGAUACCUGUGUUGUACUUUUACUUCUUGCAUGAAGAAAUUUGUUGAAGCUUUUUGGAGUUAUAGUCUUUAUGGGAAUAACUUUAACUGCUUUUCAUUGUUCUUAGCGAGAGUGCAGGACAAGUCUUGACAAAUUUUCUAACAUUUUGCAGGGCAUCGCAAUAUUUGUUGGUGUAUAUGAACCCACAAAGCAAAUGCUUUUGAAGAGCUUCCCUGAAAGUCUCAGCGCCUUGGCUUAUUUGGUUAGUUUUGAAACUAUACAAUAUAAAAGUGCCAUCUCUUUAAUGGCGUAUUACAGUUGCUGCUUCUUUCUAAAUUGAUUUAACUGCAAAUUGUUACAUUGAUACAACAAUGAAGAAAUUAAGGAGUUAUCUUCCAGUAGCAGAUUCUACUCUUUGAUUUAAAUGCCUCCUGUAGUUCCUAUUGGGAUGGCUAAUUUGUAAUUCGAACUAAUCAUCUUCAAGAUCAUAAUUAACUCCUGUCUCUUUACUUUUCUGCUAACUCCAUUUUUUUUUCCUGAUCCAGGAAAUCUAAUUAUAUCUGCUCAAACUUUUUCAUUAUUGUUUAAAUACCUUUUCAUUUGGGGCAAAACUAAGUGUAGAUAGCUGAUAGGAGUUGUCUAAUAGCUUUAAUUGUAUUUCUAUAGUGAUGAAAUGAGCUAAAUCAAAACUUUCCUAUGUCUUAUUGACUGAGACAAAAAAGAAAUAAUUGUCUUCCAUGUUUUAAUUUGCAAUGUUUAAAGAUUUUGAAUGCUUUUUCAGACAGCAGGUGCUGUGGGUGGGGUGGCAUCUUCUAUUGUUCGUGUUCCAACUGAGGUAUUCAAAGUUGGUUAUUCUGUUUUAUUUAUGGGUGUUGUAUGAAAUCCUUAUCUUUUAUAACUACUUAGGUUGUUAAGCAAAGGAUGCAGACUGGACAAUUUUCAUCUGCCCCCAAUGCUGUGCACUGUAUUGUAGCAAAGGAGGGCUUUAGAGGCCUCUAUGCUGUACGCCAUGCUCUUAUCUUUCAGGGUCUAAAUCUUUGUUUAAGGUGCUAUAGGUUUUCCAUCUUUUGAAAGUCUUUUACUGCACGUUUGCCUUCACCUUUAUCUUUACUAUUGCAGGGAUUUGGAUCCUUUCUGUUGCGAGACUUGCCUUUUGAUGCUGUACAGUUCUGUAUCUAUGAGCAGCUUAGAAUAGGUUAUAAAUUAGCGGUAAGAGAUCCAAAUAAUUAUUCUUUCAUUUACUAAAGAGGCCUAAUAUUUUCCCGUGGAAAUGAGAUUUUAUUUCCUACUUUGAUGUAGCAGGCUUAGAAGCAUCUCACAAAGUUAUAAAAUAGCCAAACUAGUCAACCUCUAACAAGAUAAACUGAGCACAUUCCCAUAUCUUUUGAAAAAAUGAACACUAUUGUUGUUCAACUGUGCCACCUGAUAUUUCCAUCUUCUUUUUUUGGUAAUUGGUUGAUCUCUGGAAAGAUGGCUUGUGUAGUGUCACUUGAGUAGAAAUCUAUGGCUUAUUUUGAUAAUGGAUCAUUAACAAGGACUAAAUUUGUCAUGACCAUAUAAAAGAUUUAUUGCCUUUGUUCUACAGCUUCUCAGCAUCCACUCUACUUUUGAAGUAUGGUUAUUUAUUGUUUUGCUAACUUUUUUGCAGGCUAGAAGGGAUCUGAAUGAUCCUGAAACUGCAAUGAUUGGUGCUUUUGCUGGUAACUACAAUCUUGUAGGAUUUUGUUUUUGAAAUGCAUAAGGGUUUCAUCAAUUAAUAUUUUCUAGUCUUCUGCAACGCUCAAUAGUGGUCAGGUUGUGAAAUUUUCCUGAUUAGUAUGGUUACAUAUAUUAGCUGUAGAGUUUGACUUUGUUAUGUUUGUCACCGGUUGCUUUUCCGUUUAAUCAAUGCUUAAGAAAUUGUAAGAUACUGCAAAAGCAAGGUUUGAAUGCUUAUGAAUGCUUAAGAGAGUUGACAAGACAAUGCGAAAUGAGAGGUCAAUGCUGUUCUAUCCCUUCCACAUUGACAAGACGGUGAAUUGACUUUCUUGGAAAAGGUAUUGUAAUGCUCAAACAUAGCAACUGGAAUGCACCUGCUAGUUGUCUCGUACCCGAAGCUGACUUAACAUGGUAAAUGUCGUUGAAGUUACCUUGAGAUUUGUCCUAAAACAAAACUAUUCUGUCUAAGUAAGAUGACUACAACUUCUACAUCUAUGAGUAUUAGUCUCUUCAUAUUACCAGUAAGGGACUGAAUUUCAUGUUUAUACCUUCCUGAAAAAUUAAAUAAAAAUUUAGGAAUUAUUCUGACAACUGCCCUUGGAUUUAAACACUGUCCGCAACACAACAUUAAAGACUGAGUCAGACAGCAGAAAUAAUGUGACAUAUUCAAAUUGAAAUGGUUUGUACACCAGUGAAGUACAAACCACAAUUAAUUCUUUUGUAGUAAAUGGCAAGUUGAUGCACCUGCUCCUGUCUUAGAUCUAUCAUGUCUUUGCUUGCACUUUUUAAACAUCUCCUGAUUAACCUUUCUAAUGAAAAUGAAUUCAUUAAUAAUAGACAAUACCAUGAUCAAUUUUUUUUUUCCCGAUACGAAUUCCAUGGUCACUAUAUUAUUGUUUGUGGUUGUGAUUCCUACUUCUACUCAGAGUGCUUUGAUUCCAAGCUCCUGUUAAUGUGGUGGUCUCCAUUGCUUUUCACAACUUCAAUCCCUGCUUCCUGGUCUCCUUUUUUUUUUUUAUAAUCCACUCCAUGUAUGUCCAUAGGUUCAUCUUUAUGAAAGCAGAUGCACUCCAUUUCACUAGCAGAACUGUCUAAUUGCCUUUUCUGCAACUCUAGUUCUAGAACGGUGGGUGCAUCAUCAGAGGCAUGUGGUUACAUAGUUGAAAUACAAGAGACGUUCAUAAGAACCCUUGAGAACUUUCCCCAUUAACCUUUUUAGCAUAACGCUUAUUAUACUUUUACCAAAAUAAAAAGCUCAAGGAUCCUUUUGUUAAUCUAGUUGCUGAUGCUGCAAUACUGCACAGGAAAUCUUGCCUAAUUUGCACACCAUGCUGAUCCAGGUAUUAUGCAGUCUGCAUCUGACUGCAAAAUUGUGAUCCUUUGGGUGACUAGCAGUGAAUUCAUUUUAGUCAUCUUACUAAUACCUUUCUCAAUGUAUUUGAAUUUGUGAAUUCUACUCUUGUGGCUCACUCAAUAUUAAAGAAUGAUUAACCAUGGUUCCACCUCUUCCGCAUGCAUAUCAGUGAAACUGAACAUCCAAUCUUAUAUGGGAAUCUCUUGGAUUUCUUUCUUGUUAAUCAACAGGUGCAAUAACUGGAGCUAUAACAACUCCAUUGGAUGUCAUAAAGACUAGGUUGAUGGUUCAGGUGUGCUUUAAUGAUUGAUGCUUAUGCGUUAAUCCUUCAUUCUUUCUUAAAUACAUACACAUGCUUGACCUUCAGUUGUUUACCAUUUUGUUAAUUCUUCAGGGAUCUGAAAAGCAGUAUGAAGGCAUCCUCCACUGUGUUGGUACUAUUGUCAGAGAAGAAGGCACCUCCACUCUUUUUAAGGUGUGUCUAUAUGUUACACAUAAUAUACCCUCUAUCCUUGAUUCACAAAGACUUUAGAUAUUGUUAGCCAAUUUUAUGUCUUUUACGUUUUCAGGAUUUCUAUUGAUAACUCAAAAGGAUAUAUUGAUACUUUUUUGAACUGUUAUUAUACCUGAUUAGUUUAAUAUGUUGAUAGCCAUAGAGGAAAUACCAUUUUCUUUCUUCUUCUCCUUCCAGUUAUCUAAAUUGAAUUCAUUUCGAACUCAAAUGAAACCUUGUUCCUUACCAUUUGAGUCAUGGAAUGAAUCCGCUUCUCUAAUUUUCAAUCACUUGGAACUAAAGAUGAUGUACUAAUGGAAAUUUAUUGGACUUGUUAGUUAUAGUCACCACUAUUUUGUAGGAAAGUGGAUGAUUCUGGUCUCAUCAGCUUAAAUGACGUGAGACCAUUGUUUUGACUGUUAUCUUGCAGGGCAUAGGGCCGCGGGUGCUGUGGAUAGGGAUAGGCGGUUCAAUAUUCUUUGGUGUUCUUGAGAGGACGAAAAAGCUGCUCUCUAACAGUGGCCCAAUUCACCCCAGUCCAGAUUCUUUGAAGCAGGACUAACAUAAUACUAUCAGGUUUAAUUAGUUCAUGAAAUUUACUUCCAAAAUGAGAUUCGUGGCAUCAUGUAAUAGAUUUGUAGGAAUUUGGUGAAUUUGGUGGAUUUUAGUGCAAUAUGAGUUCUGCCUCCUUUGGACCAUGUUUCUAUCAAGUAGCAGAGAACUGAGGGCCUUGUGUCUCUUUAUGGAAAUUUUACAUAAUUUUAUGAACUCGAUGUAUAUUAAGGGAGUACAGAGAACAUUAGUUGAAUCUUUUAGAUAGAGUAUUAUUUGAAAUAAUAUUUUUUGUUAUUGAUACGAUAGAUUAUCCUACACUAAGGGGGCGGAGAAGGAUCUAAAGAGAUCUAAAGGUAAUCCGGAGAGGAUUGAACUACCACCGGAUCAGCGCAUCCGUCUGGAUUUUUUAAGCAGAGUCACUUUUUAAAUGUGGCAAAUUGGUUGCCUCCCAUCCCACCAAGCUUUAAUGCAUUGGUGGUGGUCACCGAUCCAAAGACUGGUGGUUGUAUUAUUUGAAAUAAUUAUUGUAGCACUUUUUGUGAUGUGAUAUAUAUGAGAUAAACAAAAAUGAUUGAAAAUAUAAAAAGAUAGAUUGAAAAAUACGUGUAUAAUAUAAGUGAAAUAUUAUUUGAAAAAAUGUAAUUAUCCAAACAAUACUUCAGGAAAAAAAGGUGUUUGGAUAGGAGAUUAUUUGGGAUAAUUUUUUUUAAGAAAAAUACUGUAGUGUUUUUUUGAUUUGAUGUAUGUAAGAUAAAAAAAUUGAUUGAAAAAUAUAUUGAUAAUACAAGUAGGUUAGUGUGUGUAAAUAAUGUGAAAAUAAGGUGCAAUCCAAAUGCACCAUGGAAGUGUGCAGAGGGAGAGAGAUAUAAGAUUUAAAGAGGAGGAAAACAUUGGCAGCGUACGAAGAGGCCGAGAAUAUAAUGAGUAUCAUCCACGUCCCAGCCAACACAAGAAAGGUUUUGACCAAUAAUUUUAUGAUUUAUUCGUUUUACGAAUUAUAUAAACCUAGACACUCAAUUAGUGAUUCUAAUAGAACUAUGCCGAGAUGCUUGGUCGCCAUUAAGGUCUUCCAUUCAUAGAUUAGUAUAUUCUAACGAGUUGUGAGUACUGAUAUACGUCACAUGUUACUAGAUGAGGAUAUAUGAAACUUCUAUAAUUGUUAUUUUUAUCAAAAUUGCACUGCGAACCUUAGAGUUUUUCGUUCGAAAAAUUAGAGCAUAAGAGUUGUUGUUAUUUAGUGAGUUAAUCGAGUAAGGCCACAAGAUCGAUCAAAAGUAUUCAAUUAGUGCAAAUUAGGCCAUAAAUAUGGUCCUAAUUUGUCAAAUUGAUUGUGUUGAAAACGAGAUCAAAAAAGGAUUAGAGAGAACUGUUGGUCGCUGCAAGUUAUCAAGUUGAAGGAUUUGAUUUGUUUAGCAGUCAUAGACCGGAAAUUUGACAAAGGGAGAGAGGAACAACUGAUGGAGGUAAUUAAAAUUUUCCAGCAAUGAUAAUGGUGCAAAAAGAAUUUACUAAUGGUAAAAAGUUCAAAAUUUUGCACACAUUUAGCGGUGGCGAUGAAAUAUUCAAAUGAUCGAGAAUAACGAAAACAUAUCUCAAAAAGUGUGGUUUAAGUGAUGUUUUUGGAUUAAGUUUUAAAAUCGUUUGCCCAAAGAAGUUUGGAAAAGGAAGUUAAGGUUAUUUUUUAAAAUUAUGUGAAAAUCAAUAAUUGAAGAGCUUUACAAAAGACUUUUGCUCUGUUUGGAUUAACUGUAUUUGGAGGUGUUUUUAAAAAAUUUUAUUAUAGCAGAGUUUUUAUAGUAUAUGUUGAGAUAUUUUUAGAAUAUAUUUUGGGAUAUUUAAGAGUAACAGAGUUUUUAGAAUAUUUUUUAAACAUUAAAAAAAAUUGGACUACUUUUUAAAGUACAUUUUAGAGUACUUUGUAAAAAAUUUUAUAGGAUUUGAAAAAUUGAUGAAUCCAAACAAAGCAAAAUUGUCAUUUAUAUAAUGAUGGAAUUUUCACAUGAGUAUGCUUACAAGUCAAAAAUUGGUUUAGAGUGGAAGUUGGCAGGGAGAGAAGAAAAAACAUUUGUAUUAGUCUUUUUUGUCCUUGUUUUUCUUUCACAAUCACAAAUUCUUCAUAAUGUAGAUCAAAAUUGUCAUUCUUAUCAAUAUCUUCGUAAAUGACUUCAUCAUCGAUAUACAUGUCUGCAUUGAGAUUAAUUUUCGAAUUUUAAAACCAAUUUUAGACCUGUAACCAGGCCUAUACGGAAAUUCCAUCGUGAUAUAAAUGACAUUUGAUCUGAAAAUUUGAGGUGCUCGAGAUCAAGAAAAAGUAUUUUGUAAAGCUCUUCAAUUAUUGGUUAUCGCAUGAUUUUGAAAAAUAAUUUUGCCCUCCUUUUCCAAACUUCUUUGGACAAACAAUUGUUGAAAUUUAUUUCAAGAAUAUCACCUAAACCACACUUGUUUAGAUAUCUUUUCAGUAUUCUUGACCAUUUGAAUUUUUCACCACCACUAGAGGUCGUGGAAAAUUAGUGACUUUUAGAGUGGGAAAAAUCCACUUUUCCUCCGUAAACUUUGAAUUAGGAACACAUUUCAUCCCCAAACUUUUAGAAGCAGCACAUUUAAUACAUGAAUUAACAAAUUCUGACCACAUUUAGUCCAAAAAUAGUAAAUUGUUCAAUUUGGACGAAGAAGGCUAGCAUGUCUAGCACACGGCCAUUAAGUAAAAACAAUUUUUUAGUCAAAAUCAACGAUCAUGUGCCAAACAUGUGAUCUUUUUUAUCCAAAUUGAACAAUUUAUCGUUUUGGACUAAAUGUGACCAGAAAUUAUUAAUUUAUAUACUAAAUAUGUUGUACCUAAAAGUUUGUAGAUGAAAUGUGUCUCUAGUCAAAGUUUAGGAAUGAAAAAUGGAUUUUUUCCCUUUUAGAGUGGAAGGCAAUGUGGCAAUAAUUCGUAACAUAAGGAUGUAAAAUGUCAAAGAUGACAAGUGUGAAUGUAGAGAAGGCCUUAAAGUGGAAAGUGAAAUUUGUCUAAAAUCUUGUAGUAAUUGACAAUUGUAACAUUUAUAUUCCCAUUUCUUUUACUUUAUUUUGCUCAACCUAGAUACUUUCCACCGGUCUGGCUCCUGUGGAGGAGGAGAAUCUCCAAUACCCACAAAAACCCAAAUUUUGACCAAUCAAGACUAUCCAUCUCAGCUACAUUUACACUCAUAUCUCCACCUUAUCCACUCUCUACCACUAGUCUCCUUGCUCCAAAAUCUAAAAACCAUCCCUCUCCACACGCCUUCUUCUCAAUCUCCUAUACUCUCAUUCCUACCAUACUCUUCUUCUCUUGCAAAUCUUAUUUUCAUCCCACAAAAACUUAACAAAAAAUCCAGCAAAAUGUCUCUCACAAUUCCCACAAAUCUUUCUACAGCCAUUGCUACACCAAAGCUGAAUUCCCAGUUCAGCACAAAGCCCAGAGCUGCAACAAUUGUAUGCUCUGCUAAUUCUCCCAACCAAAGCACAUCAACCUCAGAGCAACCUUCACCACCAUCACUCAAGGCAUUUUCUGCAGCUCUUGCACUUUCUUCCAUUCUUUUAUCGGCCCCGGUGAUGCCCGCCUCGGCCGACAUCGCUGGCCUCACACCAUGCAAGGAGUCCAAGCAAUUUGCCAAGCGCGAGAAGCAAGAAAUCAAGAAACUUGAGUCAUCCCUGAAGCUUUAUGCCCCUGAUAGUGCUCCUGCUCUUGCUAUUAAGGCCACUAUCGAGAAGACCAAGCGCAGGUUAGUAUUGCCUGCAAUUUUUUUUCAUUUCUUUUCACCCGUGAGCAGACCUGCAGGAAGAGUUGAAAACUGUGUUCUGAAAUGUUGAUUGGGUUUGCAGGUUUGAUAAUUAUGGAAAGCAAGGGCUGUUGUGCGGAUCGGAUGGAUUGCCUCACUUGAUUGUGAGUGGAGACCAAAGACACUGGGUGAAUUUAUCACCCCAGGGAUUUUGUUCCUGUACAUUGCUGGAUGGAUUGGGUGGGUAGGCAGGAGCUACUUGAUUGCCAUCAGGGAUGAAAAGAAACCAACAGAGAAGGAGAUCAUCAUUGAUGUCCCCUUGGCCUCGAGACUCGUGUGGAGAGGAUUCAUCUGGCCCGUCGCCGCCUACAGAGCGUUCGUGACUGGAGAUCUCAUUGACCCUACUGUCUAAAUCCAUUAUCAGGUUAUUAAUCUACCCUUUUCUUUUAACCAUUUUUACUAUAAAAGACAGAAAUUACUCAGCCCUUUGUGGAAAUUUGACUAGCGGUAUCAACAAGAAGUUUGAAAUCACAAUGUUUCAACCAUGAACAAGUUCACAGGAUCUUGAUGAUGUUGGUUGCUAAGCUUGCUACUAGAAAUGAGUUUCUUAGUUAUCAAUCCUUCUGUAAGAAUAACUAAGCUUACUACUAGAAAUGCAAUGCAAAAAAUGUCACUCAUUUUUGUGGUUAUGACUUUUAUCAAGUGCGUUAUUUGGCUGUUCUUGUAUAGUUUAGGCACAGACAUGGAACCCCAGCGACCGAAGAUGAAGUGAAAGGCUUGAAUUUUGGAUCUUGCUCGGGAAAAAAAAACAGAUGAUGGAAAAAUUCUUGUAUCUGGAAGUUGUAAACUCAAAUGUAUCUAUUCGUUUCUUUGGAGUGACACCAACCAAUAGAAGAUGCUUAAUUUUCUUUUGGGUGAUCAAUCAAUUCUGAGUAAUGCAUGUCCAGUAUUUCAUUUUUUUCACUUUUUUGUUUCAUUUUGUUUCCCUUUUAACUCCUUUUCCCUGAUUGUGAUGUGAUGAUGAAGACAUCAGAGACUAAUGGGGGGAAAUUUAUGUCGGAUUCUCAACUAAACUGAAGCAAUUAACCAACAGAUAUCUAGAAAUUGUACAUAGAAGAAGAACAUAUUCUAUAAUGCAAGAUAUACAUGCCAGUAAAAUGGAUCAGUAGUAUUCAUUGCUGUACAUAUAAGGCAUAUGGGAUUCACUGGGAUGAAUAUAAGCCAUCCCUUCAGCAACAUCAUCAGCAAAAUUUCCCAUCAAUUUAGACAGUGAACUGAAUCUUUAGACACUCGCAGCAGCACUAACCAGCAUAACUUUGAAUGUUUUCCUCCUCUAUAUGUGUGUUUGUCAUGUGUCAGAUGGUGGGAAAAAAAAUAAUGUCAGAAGAUACUAUCCACUUCUUCCUCUAAUAACUCCACUUCUGAAAUUAACUCAUCAGCCAAUUGAAAGCAAUCUGCUAUAGACAAGAUGCAACUAAAAACAUGUAUUUUUUUAAAAAUAUAUAUUUCUAUUGCAAAUCUUCCUAUCCAAACAAACUCAUAUAUCUCUUCAAAAGAUAAAUGCAUUUAAUUACCGUUUGGAUUGGUCAUUUUUUCAAAAACAAGUUUUUCAAAUACAAUGCUACAGUAAUACACAAUAACUCAAAAAAACAUCUCAUCUAUAUAAUAUAUCAAAUAUUUCAAAAAAAUUUAUAGUAAAAAUUUUUCAUAUACAUUGUUACAGUAAAAUUUUUCAAAAACACUUUAAAAAACAGAUAAUCCAAACGGAAACACCUUGACCUAGGUCUCUAAGGGCCAGUACAUCAAUCGCUAACAUGUCCGGCUCUAAUUUAUUUUGGUCCUUGCAACGCUCGUACAAGUUAAAGGUUGUUUGUGCAACUUUUUAGACUUAUUUGUGCAAGUUUAAGAUACUUUGUGCAAUGCUAGUGGUGGCAAAUAAUUGAUUGAAAAGUUAACCAGACACUACUAGAAAUUGUAUAAAAUUUGAAAAAUUAAUUGCUAUGUCAUUAUACUCAGGAAAAACAGGGCAACACAAAUUAAGGAAUCAUAAUAAAACUAACAGAAAAUCAUAUGUAUGAAUAUAUUCAUAAGAGAGAACAAAUGCUCUUGCAGAUUUUGGUCAAUCUUUACCAGAUAAACUCUUGCAGUUUAGGUAGGAUCAAGACUCAGCAUUGUUUAAACUAUCAUCUUCAAUAUCACAAAUAGGAAGGUCAUCCAAUUUGUUGAGUUCACUUUUAACCUAAUACCAUAAUGAUUGUCCACAAUUUGUUAACAAUACAAAUUUUUAGAAUCAACCAUUAUUCCUCCUGCAAAUUAAACUGGACAAACUGUCCCUUUGGCAAAAUCAUUAUUGCCUUCAAAGUCCAGACUUUGCAAGAUGUUUUAGAUUUCAUUGCAAAAUAGACCUCUUAAUUAAAAAAAAAAAAAUUCUUCCUUGAUCCCAUCAUCCAAAUCAAGGGAUAAACAUUUUGGGUUUCUCUCAAAGUUUAUCAGCAGAUGACAAAUUAGCCAAGAAAACUGCCUAAUAAAUACCUAAAAUAUGAAAAAUGGGUGCUAACAUGGUAGCAAAUGAACGGCCAAAAUUUCACUAGGAAAGUCCUUCAAUUUUGUUUUCUUUCAUCCAAAAUUCUCUGCCUUACGUUUCUUGUCACAAAAGUUGCACAUACUCACAACCACAUAUAACAAGAAAAAGUUAGUAAGUAAGGUUGCUCAUUUACCAAAAAAGAAUAAAUAAAUAAGGUUGCUUGGCAAAUUAUCCUUCCUCCUCAUCAAUUUUCUUCCAAUACCACUUUCACUAGCCCUUCGUUAUCUUAAAAAAUACAUAGACAAUGCCUAAUCUUUAAACGUGAGAUGUAUAUUGUUGAAUUUGCAAAUAAAAAUUUAGUCUAGUGAUGUGCAUAAGUAUGCUUGUCCUUUUCGAUCCUUUUCUUUAGAAACAAAAUAAGUAUUUUAGACAAAGUCUACGGCAAUUUCUUUUUCUUUCUUUUUUUAAGCCAUAAAGAGUAGAGAUUCAAGAAAUGAGAAAGAAAAAAAAACCUAUAAUAAGUUUAACAACAAAAAAAAAAGGAAAGUAACAAAAACAUACGCCAUCAUUUAAUUAAAUUAUGAUCUGUUUUCCCUCCACCAUCACCCCCUUCUUGCACACCACCUUUUCCUCCCUCCUCCUACCUUUUCGCCAGUGCCCUCUACCAUGCUUCACCCCUUUUUCCUCCUACAUUUCCCUUUUAAGUUCUAUCUUCCCACCUUGCAAUACGCCUCCCACCUCCUCUCCCCCUUCUUAAUGGAUGUAAGGGGAUCGAGUGAGAAGUGGGGAGAAAGAGUAGGAAAGAAGUGGGCGGAAUGCCAGGGAAAGGCAUUCAAUUUAUUUAGAUUGAAGAUUUUGUGCAUAAAAAAAUCAUUUACAAUAAUGCUUUUGUAAUAUAUUGUAUCUGAAGAAAAACAAUUUAAAAUAAUAAAAUGGUGAUGUAAUAAUAAUUUAGAAAAUCUCCAAAAAAAAAUUUCCGAAAAGGUUUUUGUCCAGACAUUAUUGUAUUAUGCUAUAGAAUGAACUGUAGAAUUCAUAAUGUACUUAAUUUUUGAAUUUUUAAAGUGAAAUCUCAACAAUGUAUGUAUUUUUUUUAUUACUAACUCCACAUGCUAAGAUUUAGUAAUUUUAUUUUGAAAGAUAAAUUAAAAGAUUUGUAAGUGUACUUAUUAAUGCAUUUAAAUUAUAUAUAACUUAUCAUGUUAUUACAUGUAUUCAAAUCUACCAUACUUUUUUUAUAAGAGAAUUAAUAAUAGUUCCCUAUUUAUUUCCUUUGAUUACUCGAACUGAUGUAAAAUGUUUUACAAUUGGUUACGUUUUCUUGUCAAUUAAUAAAAACAAAAAAAAAUUAUUGCACCCUUACAUCUGUGUUUGGAUUGUAAUUUUUCAAAAAAAAUAUUAUAUUUUGCGUAGAUACAUUUUUUAAUUAUUUUUUUAUUUCACGUAUUUUAAAUUAUUAUAAUAAAUUUUUUAAUAAAAAAUUCAAAAAAAUGCAAUUCAUACAAACCAAUCACCAAUGCCUCCUUGGCCAAAUCCAACACAGUCAACUUUACGAUGUCAAAUCAGAUGAAUUAUUACUACUAUAGUUAGUAUUUUAAGUCCUAAUUUUAACAUCUAAAAAAAUAGGUCCUAAUUUUAAAAUACUCCAAAUUACAACAGUCAAAUCAAAUCUUGUCCCAUUCAAAAUCUGCUAUCGUCAUGUCACUUCACUUCCAGUGAAUUAACAUCAAGGCCACAAGGAAUUCCCGCCAAUGCCCAUGGAUUAACAUCGGAUUUCAAACCCAAUAUCUAGCCAAAAUGCAUGUUUCACGCAGAAUCCGCAAGGCAUCAUACACAAAAUGCCGCCUUGUUUGGAUCAUGGGUCUUGGCGGAAAAAUUGUUACGUGUUUUUGUAAAUAAAAUUUUAAGUAUUUUUUAAUUUAUGUAUAUAAAUUAAUUAUAUAAUAUAUUUUUAAUAAAAUUUCUAAAAGUAUCAAUUCGAAGAAUAGGCUUAUUGUUUUUUAAGGAAAUUUAUUUUACGUUUUUUGUGAGUAUAUUCUUGUUUGAAUUGUACUUUUUCUUAUAAAAAAUUUCUAUAUUUUUCAUAAACAUAUUUUUUAAUCACUUUUUUACAUUGUAUAGAUCAAAUUAUUAUAAUACAUUUUCUAUAAAAAUUUUUAAAACUAACAAUUCAAAUAGGCUUGUAAUUUAGAUUAUUAUUUUAAUUAUUUUAAAAUUGUUUAUAAAUAUAUUUUAAAAUCCACUUUUUUAAUUGAUGCAGUUUUAUAAAAACUCCAAAAAUAGAUACAAAAAAUAUAUUAAUAUUACAUAUUUAUAUAUAAAUAUUAUAUACAAAAAAUAUAUUUGUUUAAUAAAUAUAUAAAUGAAUACAUAAAUAUUAAUUCAAAAAUUAAUAUACAAAAUAUUUAUAUAUAAUAUAUAUAUAAAAAAUUUAUUUUGUUUAAUAAAUAUAUAUUUAUAUAAAUAAAUAUUAAUACAAAAUAUAAAUAUAUAUAAUUAAAUAUAUUUAUUUUUAUUUAUGUAAUUAUAUAAUUAUAUUUAAUUAUAUAUAUUUAUAUAAAUAAUAUAUUUAUAUAUAUUUAUAUAUAUUUAUUUCAAUUUUUUUUAUUAUAUGUAAAUUAAUAUAUAUAUUAUGUAUAUUUUGAUAUUUAUAUUUCAAUUAUGAAUAUAAGAUAUAUAUAAAUUAUAGUAAUAUUAAUAUAUUUCAAUUAUGUAUAUUAAUAUGUAUAAUAUAUAUAUUAUAUCAAUUGAAAUAAAUAUUAUACUUUUAUAUAUUAAUAUAAAUAUUUUGUUUUAAAAUAUAUUUAUAUAUAUAUUUAAAUAUAAAUAUAUAUCUAUAUAUAUUUAUAUAACUAUAUAAAUAUAUUUAUUUAUAUAUUUAUAUAAAUGUGUAAAUAUAUUUAUUUCAACUUUGUUUUAUAAUAUGUAUAUUAAUAUAUAUUAAUAUGUAUAUUUCAAUUUGUAUAUUUCAAUUAUGUAUAUUUUAUUACAUAUAUAAAUUAUAUUAAUAUUAAUAUGUAAUUUAAAUUAUGCAUAUUAAUAUGUAUAUUAUAUAUAUUAUAUCAAUUGAAAUAAAUAUAUGUAUUUAUAUAUAAAUAUUAAUAUUUGUUUAAAAUAUAUUUAUAUAUAUAUAAAUAUAUACAUAUCAAUUUUAUUUUAUAAUAUGUAUAUUAAUAUAUAUUAAUAUAUAUUUGUAUAUGUAUAUUAAAUAUAUAAUAAUAUACAUAUUAAAAAACAAAAUUGAAAUAAAAAUAUUAUAUAUAUAAAUAAAUAAACAUUAAUAUAUAGAAACAGACCCAGUAUAUAUUUAAAAAGAAUCUCAACAAAAUUUUAAAUUAUAAAAAUAUUUAAAAAUAUCUCUAAAAAUAAUCUAAAAAUAUCUACAAUAAAAGUUAUUCAUAUACAAAGUUACAGUAAAAUAUUUGAAAAACUCCCUCCAAAAACAGCUAAUCCAAACGGGAGCCCGAUUCGACCAUUUUGUCUCUUCUUCCCCAUGCAUGAAGUUUCCUGACGGCUAAGUCUACACGGAGGCAUAUGCACCGCCAAAACCUCCCCAAAAUCCUAGUACUAUGCUAAUCCUCGUACGAUCUUUUUGUCUUCUACCUUUACCUUUUCCCUAGGCUGAUUUCCCUAGGACCCUUUACUAUAAAUCGUCCUUCCAGCUUGAUUUCAACUAUCAUGACAGAGAUAAUCAGUUUCUUGAUUUCGUGUUGGCAAAAAGGUUAGAUUUUCGUGUUGGUUGUUGCAUUUCUGGGAUAAUCGAGAAUUUUUCAAGGAGCUUGGCUGUGAAUUCGAGGAUGGAUUCGGAGAGGGAGCUUCAACACAAGCUGAUUAAUGCUGGGGUGAAGCUUCUGGUGCCAAUCUCUUCUACCGAUGAUCUCCUUGCCUCCCUCGAUGUAAAGAUCACUUUUUCAUGAGGCAUCUGGAAGAUUUAGAGAUUGGCUUGGCUUAUUUCCUUUUUUUUUUUGGGCUAUGUUGCAUGCAUGCGCAAAAUCAAAUAUAAAAGUUUUGGUUUUUGUCUCUUGAGUGCUUUUGUUGAUUUAGUCCUUGUUGAUUGAGAUUAUUAAAUCCUGUUUUGUUUGUAUCUUGGUGAUUUUGCUGCUUAAUAAUGUAAACUUUUGUUGGGUUUGCUUCUGUAAAGUUCAAAAUUAAUUGCACAUAGUAACAAUAAUUGAUAGAAAUAGGCUUGCACCAAGCACGCACGAGGCACAGAGUGUUUGAUCCUGUAGGUUCAAUGUUUAUUUGAUAGGUUACUUCUCCCUAAGAAAUGUUGUUAAUCGAGGCUUUCGUUUUCUCUGAUAAACGUUCUCUUUUCACGAUUCAAAACUGCUGGCUUACUUCUGCGUAUUAUUUUAUAUUCGAGAACUCUUUUCUGUCUGAUGUAAAUUAAUUAUUAUCUUCUUUUUCGUCCUGUUGUUUAGAAACUAGAGGGCCUUUUAUCGGUCCUAGGUCAAGAUCCUUUCAGUUCGAUACGAGAUGCACUGUUGCCUUCGAUGAAGGCUCUGAUCUCUGAUAGGCUGUUUAGACAUCCUACUACGGAGGUCAGGAUUUCGGUUAUGUCUUGCAUCUCUGAGGUGUUAAGAAUCACAGCUCCACAUCAACCUUACGAGGAUGAAAAAAUGAAAGUAAGCUGAAGAACCUAUGGUGGUAUUUAUUCUUGGUUUAGUUGCAUCUGCGCUUUGUAUUCUACACUUAUUUAGAACUCAGUUGUCAGCCUUUGCAUUUUGAUGGCGUGCAGGAAGUUUUUCAGCUAACUUUAGCUGCAUUUGAGAAGUUGUCUCUUUUAUCUGGUCGCUGUUAUUCUAAAGCUUUGCACAUUCUUGAAAUUGCUGCAACGUUCAGAUGCUGUGUUAUCUUGCUGGACCUAGGCUGCAAUGCAUUUGUCACUGAAAUCUUCGAACUCUUUCUAAGUACCAUUAAGUAAGUCUAAAAUCUUAUAUUUUAUUGACAAAAUCUUCUAAUUGACUGUUUGUCCUCUUUGGAUCAUUUAGUAAUUGCUAUCGUUCAGCUUUUUCAAAGUAACUCUAGUACUGGUAGUUACAAUACUCUUUAAUUUGAAGUUACUAGAUGUGUUACAUUACCUUCAACCUUCUUUCCUGAAUAUAUGAUCUGAUUUUCGCUUCAUGAAUUCCUCAGUGGCGGCAAAGGUUAAAAAAUUGAUGAGCUCAUGGGAAAACCUUUUUGAUGUGUUGUUGAGUGAUUAAAUCAUGGUCUCUAAUUCGAACAAUCAAAUUAUGAGUGUUCAUUUGUUUGUCUUCCACCUGUGUUGUACCUAUCAACAUAUUAAACUAUCAUGUGCUGAUAGAUACUCUUAUGUUUGAAUGUUAAAUACAAGGUUCAACCACCCGCAUGCUGUAUUCUCCAACAUGGCAGAAAUUAUGACUUGUCUUAUAGAUGCAAGUGAUGAAAUUUUAUUAGAUCUUCUAAAGCCUCUUCUGAAUAGUGUGAAAAAGGAAAAUCAGGUACUCUUCCUUGUAUAGAUCUCUGCGUCAUUUGUUCUCCAUUUUUUUUAAAAAAAUAAUCUGUACUCAACCACCUUUGUUGUUUGCCUCAGAUUACUUCACCAGCUUCCUCUUGGCUAGGAGAGAAAGUACUAAAGAACUGCUCAACUAAAGUCAAACCUUAUCUCAUGAAUGCAUUGAAGUCAAUGAGUCUAGAUAUUAAUGAUUAUGCCGAUAUAGUUGCUUUGUUAUGCCGAGAUAUGCCAGCUGGGGCCAAUGUGGUGCGACAUUUUUCUUUCGUUCAACUGGACCUUUUUUUUUUUUUGGCAAAAGGCAGAUAGGUUUAUGAUUUUAUACUGUCUCCAAAAUUUCAUACUUCUCUUGUAAUUUAUCUUGCUCCUUGUAUUUGUGAAUGAUGGAAAUAUGUUUGGACUUCCUUAAAGUUGUUGUUUCCCCCCACUGUCUAAUACGUGAGAUGUUAAGAAAUAGUCUAUAACUCUAUAUUCAUCUUCCUGUAACUCAUAGAAAAACCAGAAAUUGUUCAGGAAGAGAAUCAACAUCAGAAAAUGAUUGUUGCUAUAGAUUUUCAUUUAAAAUUAAGCUGUGCUUGAGAUGUCAGACUGAUUCUGUUGCUUCCAAUGCAUCAUAGGAUCGUUAGUUUUCAUAGUUGAAGUUCUGUAAAUCGAAUUAAUGAGUCUAAUUUUUCCUAAAGAUUAGGAAAAUGCUCUUUUAAGCAAAAUUAGUAGAUCAGGCAGCUGAAAUGGUUGAUAUUCUCCUGUUGGAAUUGCUCAGUCUAGUAAGACUAUUUAGAAUCUGGUUUUGUUCUUUGUUGCUUCUUCACUAUUCUUUCUGCUAUUUAAAUGUUUGUGUUGAAAUGAAGAGACUGGCUUUAAUUUGUCAAUCUUAAUUUAAUCAGGUGAUGGAGGAGUCAGGAAUGACUGCUGCUGACCUUGUGCAAGAUGAAGCUCAGCUUUGCAAGUCACUGCUAGAUGAUUGCACAGCUCAGGAGGCAUACAGUGAUGAUAAUGGAUCAAAUGAUAGGAAUUCUUCAAAGCUAUUGCAGAGCCAUGAACAAGUUGUUCAGCUGAAGAGCAUAGCUAAAAGAUCUGUUGCCCCUGGAGCUUUAGACGGUGGAGGAGAAAUGCAAGCAAGAGCAAGAGUACGAGUCAUGCCAAAUAGAAGGGGAAGAAAACCCAAUUCUCUGAUAAAACCGGAGGAAGGUUAUGAAUAUUCUGGGAUAACUGGACACCGAGAUUCUCACAGAAUACCUUGUAAGAAAAAGAAUCUUGGGAAAGUUAGCAGCUUACCGAGUAAUUCAUCUGCAACGGAGUCUGUUUUGCAGCCUGAAGCAGAAAAGGAUGACAAGCCAAGUUCUUUUCCGCCAAGAACGUUACAUUUUGACAGCAGAUGUGCUCCCAUUUCCCUAGAUCCAACUGAAGGAGGUAAAAGUCUUCAGAGAAAGAGUAGGCCAAGGAAGAAAGAGAGCAUGUUUAGUCAUGAUGUUAACAUUGCCAUGUUUGACAAGGAAGGUGUUUUACUGGAAGAUCAACUUAAGAAGAAAAGCUUGCCAGGUUCUGAUGGUUGCUUAAGAACAGGAUCAGACAAAACAGAAAAUGCUGACAAAAAACCUGGGAGAUAUUCAAGGAGGAAGAAAUCUGCUGUCUGUAACAACAUAGAGACAACCUUUGGCAUGAAGAAUGUAUUUGUAACAAAGGAAAAAGACAUGCAGAGUGAUUUGGAUGGAAAACCACUGCUUUUGUUUAGAAGGAAGGAUGGACAAAAAGGAAUGAAAGACAAAGAAAUUGAAAAAUCUGAGGUAUUAUGUUUGUUUAGUGAUGUUUGAUUUGAAUUUUGCGAUAGAGAAAAGUGGACAUAGUUUUGCAGCGACCAAAUAGGAAAUUAGGAUGUUUAAUUUGAUAUGGAGGGAGUUAUUUUUCAUGUAAAGGUGAAGCAAUUCUGUUUUCACAGUAGAAACCACCUCUGGUGUGAAAAGAGUACUUGUAAAGAAGGAAAAAGAUAUCCAGAGCGAUCAGAAGGAAAACCACUGGUUUUAUUAAGAAUGAAGGAUGGACAAAAAGGAAUGGAAUGCAAAGAAGCUGAAAAUUUUGAAAUAUCAUGUUUGUUCAUUAAUAAGUCAAUUAAUGUCUGAGGUAUUAUGUUUCUUUAUUGAUGUUUCUGUGCUUUUACCUACAAUUAAAACUGUCAAAUUAAGCAAAGUGGACAAGUUCUCCGCCCGCCACCCAUAUAGGAAAUGAGGAUGUUCAAUUUGAUAUGAGGUAGUACAAAAUCUUAUUUUUCAUGUAAAAGGUGAACCAAUUCUUGUAACUUCUGUCUAAAACUUUCUACUACAGAAAGUAGAUAAUUAGAAUCUUGCUUAGCAUAUGCUGAGAGCUUGAGCAAGCACCCCGGUCUCUCGAUAUGUUUGUAAGCAAUGACUGGCUAAAUUUCGUGCCUGUCUGAUAUGCCUUGUUUAGAUGCUUUGUGUUUGUUCCAUAUAUUCUGACAUGAUUUUCAUAUCUGAUUUCUAAUGUGCGAAGACAUCUUUUUGUAUUCAGGGUUGCAGAAGCCUAGAAUUGUGAAAGAGUAUGGUGAAGAAUUAAUUGGUUCAAGGAUAAGGGUCUGGUGGCCCAUUGACGGCAGUAAGUGACUCAAAUUGUUAAAUGAUCAAAAUUAAUGACAAUAUGUUGAUCCUUUUUGCUAUUUUUGUAAGUUUGAAUCUCUGAAUGUUGCUAUCAUCUUGACUUUGGUCCAGGUGGUUCUGCUUCUUUGAAACAGUUUACAAGUAAUAGGACAAUCUUCUGGGUGGCUUUGUUGAUAUGGGUGUUAAAUAGCUGAAGCUAUUGCCAUCUAAUUCCCCAAGCUGUCCCCAUUCCCCCAACUUUCUGCUUGAUUUUGGUGUGUCCUUCCACCUAAAAUGCAUGAACUACAACCCUUUUUUUUUUGUCUCAGUUUAAAUUCCAUCAGCUUUUCUUUUUCUAUGAUAUAACACCACUUAUUAGCUCCUACCUUACCCCUUAAAUGUCAGUAGUGGAAACUUCCUUAGCUGAUAAGUACAAAUUCUUUUAAAGGAGAUUUUGGCUUCAAAAGCCAAUUUUAUGAAGUUGGUUCAACCAAGGCUGGAGACUAUUUCACCACUAUUGCCUCCAACCAAAUAAUUCUAUGAUUUUUCAAAAACCAUGCAUGAUCUCAGCCUGAAAAACUGGGAAUCUUGUUCACUUAAGUGUCUUCUUUUCUCCGUUCCAGCAUACCUUUCUUUGACUGAGCGUAUCUGUGAAUUUUUCCUCUCCCCACUUCUGGGCAUUGCUGCCCUGUCCUUUCCCUCUUUUACUAAAGGAAUUUCAUAGUGCAUGAUGAUUUAGUGCCCUUAAAACUUAUAUUUAUGCUAGAUGAACCCAAUAUUUCAUUCUAAAGUUAUUCUUUUCUGAUUUUCAGUUUUGCUAUGGAAAACCAUGGCCUGCUAUGUGUUGAUUUUUUUUAAUGUUAAUGUAGUAGUUUGAUAUAUUUUUUGUGCUAAUAUUUCAUUUUUCUGUGGUUGGAAAUAUUUCUGCUCAGUUGGGUGUCAAUGGUGCUUUUUGGAUCAAUCUUUGACUGGUAAUGUAAUGUAUUUGAGCAUGUUAAAUAUGUACAUAUGUGCAUCUGCGUGUGCAUGUGUGUGGUAACUUGUUUGAAUCAACUUGGAUUCCAGAGUUGAUUAUUUCCAGUUGUAAGAAACUGAUGAUAUUAAUGCGGGCUGUUGGAAAAGAAAACCUUCCUAUUAUUAUGUUUGAACAGAACUGAAAACACAUGCUUAGAACUGGGGAAGUAAACAGUACUUUAAUUGCAUGACCAGAUAAAAAAUUAACAUGGGAUGCACAUCGAGGAGAAAAAUUGAUGUCAAUGGCCAUCAGAUUCCUCAAGAGAGAUGAAGUAAUGAAUCUAUGAAUCUAAGUGUCUGUUAUUAAAUCUAAGCAUGACAGGAUGAGGGCAGUAGUGAAGCUUUGCUGUUCAACAAUGUACUUGAAUACCAUUAAAGCACGAAAGCUGAACUUGAUUGAAGGCGACUAAUAUUGUGGAAGUUGGUAGAUUUCAAUUGCGUCGGAAAUAGCUUUGUUGAGUUGACUCAGCAAAAAGGUAAAGAAAUUGGGACGUCCUCAAGAGCUUUCUAGCUAUGGUUGUGAGUGAAACUUGGACCUCAAUGACAUGUAAUUUUUCCUCUUGGGAUAAGUAAUUUCCUUUUCAUAUGUAUGUUUGACUUCGAUAGUUGAUAUAUUGAUUAAGUACAUAAUUGUUAACUGUAUUAUGUGCAUGAACAUCGUAGUGGCUAGACACCUGGUGCAGAAUUUGCCAAAUAACAAAAUCAACUAAUUUUUGUGUUUAUUUUGGGUGGCAUUGUUUGAGUAGUCACUCUCUUCAUUAAUAAGUACAAAAUUGAAAUCACUACAGCUGAAAAUGAGAUAAUCUGUCGACCUUAAUGUUUGAAAUCGACCAAACUUGAGCCAUAUGUGUCAGGGAACAAGCAGAAUAUUAUGUUCUAUCUUAUUAAUUUUUUUUUUUUGCGCAGGUUUUACGAAGGCGCUAUUGAUUCUUUUGAUCCCUUGAGGAAGAAACAUAAGGUGAAAAUAUUGACAAUGACAGCCUAAACCUUUACGUUUGCUAUUAUUUAACUCUUUCAAAUUCAUCCUUGGUUUGCUUCAUCCUUUAUUAUACCUCCAUUUUCUUGCUUUUAGGCUCUGUUUUUUAUCCUUACCUCAACAUGAGAUAAGAAUACUUUGUAAACCUUCACCCUAUUCUUUUGGAUUAAAACAUUUUGCUGGUGCAUUUGUGACAUAUUAAUUCAUCUUAACUGCAUGAAUAAGCAGUCAUCUUAGUUUCUAUACUGUAAUUUUACAUGCUCAGGACCACAGUUUUCUCUCACUGGUUUGAAAUUUUGUGGUGAUCGAGAAUGUGCUGAUGUUAAAUGGUUAAGUUUGUUUUACGAGUGAUCACAUGCUUACUGUCCUUGUUUCAGGUUUUUUAUGUUGAUGGUGAUGAGGAGAAUUUGAAUCUAAAAAGGGAACGUUGGAUUUUGCUUGGCGGCAGUUCUUGUCAUCAAGUUAGUCACUGAUUUUCUAUCUGUCACCUUUCAAUUUUUUUUUUUUGGCUGCUGCUCUCAAGUACUGUUUGAGACAGAUGAGUUUAUUCUUUUAGAUCCUCAAAACGUGUUUCUGUUGAAAACUUGUCUUUACUUUGUUAUUACCAAGUUUUUUCAAGUCGUCAGUCAAGCUUUUCUUGGUGUUGUUCUUCACUUCCCUUAUAUCAGAAUAUGCAUAACUAGUUUAAUUCUCAUGUUCACCUUACCGAAAAUUCAGUUUUCUUUUGUGGAUUUUAGAUGUCAUGACAUUCCCUCUGAACAUCUGUACAGUAUGCUUUGCUGGCUUGCUUGUUAUCCAUGGAUGAUGAUUUUUUUGAUCAAUUUAGUCACUUAACUGGUUAGGGAUUUUUAAGAUUCCCUUUUUUUUCCAAUUUCAAGAGUCAAUACAGUUGGAAGGGAAAAAAAAAAGAAAAGGAAAAAUACAAAAUAAUUAAAAUGAAAAAGAGAGAAGCUGUCGUAAUAGAUACAAUCUGAAUAUUGACCUUGAAAACAGAUUAAAUCCUUUGAAGUAUCUUUUUCUAGGAUAGAAGGUUUAUCUAUCAGUAUGUGUCUUGGUCAUCACUUCUGGUAUAGGAUGUUUUUCUAUGAUGGAAGUUUUAUCUAAUUCUUUAUAUCUUGGCCAUUACUUCUGGUAUAGGAUGUAUGUGCAAGUGACUCUCACAUUUAACUUCUAGAACGUUACUCCACUGAAACAAUAAUGUCUUUUCUCCAGUCAACUUUUGGUGUUCUUUAAGUUGGAGGGGCAGGCAUUGGAAGCAUGAACACUUAAUCGAAAUUUCAACCAAAAGCUUCUUCUUUUUAGAUGUGCUUAUAUUUCUUUUCUUACUGAGGCUUAUAUUCACUUUGGCUGAUUUAGCAGAUGAAAACGAACACAAAGAAUAUGUACAAAGAUAAAACAGCAAGAUCUUUCUGUUUUUUCAACAUCAAAAUAUAAUUGUUAUUAAUAGUUUUUCCUUCAAAAUUAAGCUAUAUAUUCCAGACAUGAGACUGUAUCUGUUGUCUCUGAUUCAUCAGAGGGUUGUUUGAUUCCAUGUCUGGAGUUCUGUAUAAGAAUUGACGAGUUGAACUUUUUCUGAAGACAAGAUAAUUUGUUUUUUGUUAAGCAAAAUUAGCAGAUCAGGCAUGUCAAAUGGUUGGCAUUCUCCUGUUUGACUUGCUAAUGUCUUUGGUCAGUCUAGUUUAGAUCGUAUAGAAUCCCAUUGUAUAUUUUGCUGCUUUGUCACUAAUCUUUCUUCUGUUUGAAUAUUUACAUUAAAAUGUAGGGAUUGGCCGUAGUUUAUGUAUCUUGAAUUAAUCCUUGAAUUAAUCAGGUGAUGGUGGAGGGGAAACAACUGCCUCUCAUCUUGUGGAAACUGAAGCUCAGCUUUGCAAGUCACUUAUAGAUGAUUGCAAAGCUGAGGAGGCAGACACUAAUGACCAUGGAUUAGAUGAUAGGAGUUCAUCGAAGAUAUUGCAGUUUGAUGAAAAAAUUGAGCAGCUGAAGAGCAUGGCUGAAAUAUCUUUCGCCUCUGGAGCUUUAGAAAGUGGAGGGGAAAUGCAACCAAGAGCAAGAGUAGGAGUUACGCCAAAUAGAAGGAAAAGAAAACCCAAUUCUCUAUAAACAGUUGAAGUUUAUACUGAGGUAUUAUGUUUCCUUAUUGAUGUGUCGGUGCAUUUCUACCUGUAAUUAAAUUUUCAGAGUAAGCAAAGUGGACAUAGUUUUGUCACCACGCAAAUAAGAAUUUAGGAUGUUCAAUUUGAUACGAGGGAGUACAAAUCUUAUUUUUCGUGUAAAAGGUGAAUCAAUUCUUGUAGCUUCAGUCUAAAGAUUUCUACUAUAGAAAAUAGAUCAAUGGAAUCUUAGUUGGCAUCUGCUGAGAACUUGAGGAAGCACCCUGUUCUCUUCACAUGCUUGUUAGCAAUGAUCAACUAAAUUUCUUGCCUGUCUGAUAUGCCUCGUUUUGAAGCUUUGUGUUUGUUGCAAUAUCCUGACGUGAUUUUCAUAUCUGCUUUCUAACGUCCAAAUAUAUCAUUUUAUACUACUUCAGGGUUGCAAGAAGCCUAGAAUUGUCAAAGAAUAUGGUGAAGAGUUAGUCGGUUCAAGGAUAAAGGUCUGGUGGUCCAUGGACAGUGAGUAAGUGACUUAAAUUGUUGAUAAUGCUCGAGAGACAAUAUAUUGAUCCUCUGUACUUUUUUUGUAAGUUGAAUCUCUGAAUGUUGCUAUUAUCUUGACUUUGGUCCAGGUGGUUCUGUUUCUUUAAAACAGUUAAAGAGUGCUAGGAGAGUCAUCUGGGUAGCAUUGUUGUAUGGGUGUUGGAUAUCUGUAACUAUACUCAUCUUAUUUCACCCCCCCCCCCCCCCGCCUUCUUUCUGCUUGAUUUUGACAUGUCGUUCCACCUAAACUACAUCAACUACAAUCCUCCCCACUCUGUCUCAGUUUAAACUCCCAUCUUUUUAUUUUUUUUGUUUUCUAUAAUAUGGUACGAUUUAUAAUCUCCUGCCUUACCAAUUAAACACCAUCAGUGGAAGCUUCCUUAACUGAGAAGUAGAACUUGUCUUAAAGGAUGUUUUGGCCAAAAAGCCAAUUUUGUGAAGUUGGUUUGGCCAAGUUAGGAGACUGUUUCACCACUAUUGCCUCCAAUCCAGCAAGACUAUGGUUUUUCAAAACCCAUGCAUAAUCUCAACUGGUAAAACUAGAAUCUUGUUGGCUUAUUGACUUCUUUUCUGUAGUUCUAGCAAACCUUUAAUUGACCGACAUCUGUGAAUCUUUUCCUAUCCCAAAUUCUGGGCAUUUGCUGCCCCUAUCCAUUUUCCUUUUACUAAAGAAUUUCAUAGUACAUGAUGAUUUAGUCCCUCAAAACUCAGGUAUUUGUUGCUACAUAAAGUUGCUGUUUUCAUCCUGAAGUCAUCCUUUUCUGAUUUUCAAUUUUGUGAUUGAAGGUUGUGGCCUGUGUUAACUGUUAGAUUUAUUUAUUUAUUUUGUUUGUAGUUUUAGUGGUUAGGAAUAUUUCUGGCCAGUUGGGUGUCAAUGGUGAUUUCUGCUUUAAUCUUUCAUUGAUAAUGUAAUGUAUGUGAGCAUGUUAUAUAUGAACAUAUGUGUCUCUGUGCAGUGUGUAUGUGGGUGGUAAUUUAUUUGUUUGAAUCAACUCAGCAGCUGUAAUUGAUUAUUUCCAUUUGUAGGAAGCUCAUGAUAUGAUGCAGGCCAUUGUAAAAGAAAAUUUUCCUAUUGUUAUCUUGAAACAGAAUAGGGAAAAAGAUGAGAUAUCAUGAACAGAUAGUGAAAAUUCUCCCGGAGGGAUGAAAAAAAAAAGCUUAGAACUGGGGUAGUAAACAGUACGCUAACUGCUAUUACCAGAUAAAAGACUAACAGGGAUGCAUGUCGAGGAGGCAUAGUGAUGUUGAUGGACGUCAGAUUCCUCAAGAGGUGAAGUAAUGAAUCUAAGUGUUUCUUAUAACAUUAAUAAAUCUCCAAUGCUACUUGGGAUUACUUUUGACUUUGGUAGUUGAUAUAUUGAUUAGAUACAUAAGCAUAGAUACACUAUGUGCAUGAACAUCCUACUGGAAAGACACCUGGUGCAGAAUUUCCCAACAUGACAUCCUAGUUUUCAUGUUUACUUUGGAGGGCAUUGUUCGAGGAAUGCUCCUCCAUUUCAUUGAUAAAUGCAAAGUUGAAAUUUCUGCAAUUGAAUAUGGGAUAAUUUGUCAAACUUAAUAUUUAUGUCAGAGAACAGGCAGAAAGUUGUGUUCUAUCUUAUCCAGUUCCUUUUGUGCAGGUUUUAUGAAGGUGUUAUUGAUGCUUUUGAUCCUUUGACGAAGAAACAUAAGGUGAUAAUAUUCACAUUCAUAGCCUAAACCUUUACUUUUGCUAUCAUUUACUCUUCUAAAAUCCAUCCUUGGUUUUGCUUCAUCCUUUAUUAUGCCUCCAUUUUUUGCUUUUAGUCUCUGAUCUCUGUCCUUUCCUCAUAAUGAGAUAAGAACACUUUGUAAACCCUCCUCAUAUUCUUUAAGAAUAAAACAUUUUUUUGGAAGAUCCAUUUGCUGGUGUAUUUGUUACAUAUUGAUCCAUCUUAGCUACUUUAAUCAGCGGUUGUCUAAGUUUUUUUUAUUGUAUUGUUACAAGCUUAGGAGCACAGUUUUCUCUCACUCGUUUGACAUUUUUUGGUGAUUGAGAAUGUGCUGAUGUUGAAUGGAAGUAAGUUUUUUUUAUGAGUCAUCACAUGCUUCUUGUCUUUGUGUCAGGUUUUAUAUGUUGAUGGGAACGAGGAGAAUUUGAAUCUGGAAAAAGAAAGUUGGUUUUUGGUUGGCAACACUUCUUGUCAUCAAGUUAGUUGCCUGAUUUCCUACUUUUUCUUCAUUAUGCUAUUUGUGGUGUUUCUGUUAUCGCCUCCCCCCCCCCCACCCAAAAAAAAAAAAAAUUCUCUCCCUCUCAUAUAUUGAUGAGAUCUCUGUGAUGUGAUAUUGAUAGAAUAAACAAUCAAACCUUUCAAUUUCUGCUGCUGUGGCUUUGAAGUACUGUUUGAGACAGCUGUCAUUAUCCUUUAUUAAGGAUUUUCAAGUUGUCAUUAAGCUUUUCUUGAUGUUGUACUUGCCUUCCCCAUAUCCGAAUUUGUAUAGGUAGUUAAUUCUCAUGUUCACCACACUAAGAGUUAAGUUCCCUUUUGCAGAUUUAUGUUGCCAUGACAUGCUCCCAGAACUUCUGUACAGUAUUCUUUUGCUGGCUUGCUUGUUAUCUACAGAAGAUUAUUUUCUUGUUUGAUCAUUUUAAUCACUUAGCUGGUUAGGGUUUUCAAACAUUCAUUUGUUUCAAAUCCAAGGAUCAAUCCAGUUGUCAAAAAAAAGAUAAAAUUAUUGAAACGAAAGGAGAGAAACUAUUGUAAUAGAUAGAAUCCUAAUAUUGACCUUGAAAACAAACUCAAAUCCUUUAACAUAUCUGUUUAGAGAAGUUUUUUCUUUAUUUGUAUGUCUUAGCCAUAAUUUCCUGUAUAGGAUGUUUUGUCUAAAAUAGAUGUUUCAUCAAUGCUUUAUCUCUUGGCCAUUACUUUUGGCAUAGGAUGUAUGUGGACUGCACUUUCAAAUUUAACUUUUAGAACAUUCCUCCACUUGAACAAUAAUCAUGGGCAUUUCCUCCAGUCAACUUUUGAUAUCUUUAAACAAGAGGAGCAGGUAUUGGGAGCAUUAACACUUGAUCCAAAUUAGAAUUAGAGGUUUUUUUCCCCCGCUUUUUAGUGCUUAGAUUUCUUUUCUUACUGAGGCUUAUGUUUGCCGUUGCUGGUUUUGCAGAAGAAGAAAGCAAGCACGGAGAACAUUUAUAAGAGAAAACAAGAAGAUGAUUCUGUUUCUUCAGAGAAAAGGUUUGUCGUUUGAUAACGUUGUCUUUUCUUCAGAGUUUGAGUUUUUGGAAUUUUUAUGGCAUUCACGUCAUCUUCACUACUUUUUUUGUUGUUAUCAAAUGAAUUGCCAAGGGCUUUAUAACAGCCAGAGAGUUUCUGCUUUUAGGUACCCAACUCGAGCCCGAAAAGCAUCAAGUCUUCUGCUGUAGGUGAUCUGACAAAGGAUGAUAAGGAAACAAAGGAUGAGGACGAGAAUCUCAGAAGCAAAGCUCUCAAGGAUGCAAGUAAAUCUAGCAUGUAGCAGCUUAGCUACACAACCAAGAAGAUUAUUUCAGCAAGAACUCCAUGGAUAUGCAUGGAAAAUCGCGAUGCUGCGUCUUGAAAAUGGGCACAACUAAAUGGCCUGAAAACACAGACAAUGUCAUUAGGCUGAUGACAUGGUACUUAAAUUAAGAGUGGAUGAUUUGAAUUUUUGUAGAACUGGAUUUUGUUUUUAUUAUUACUGCCAAAACAUCCCAGUUUUGUGACUAUUAAGCUGAAUUAAAGUCAUCAAGCUGAAUUAAAGUUUCACGAAGUUUCACAAGUUCAUAGCUGAUUCCUGUACUUGUUAGGCUGGUCGACUGAGCUUUGUUGGUGCCUUCGCAGCUAUCGUGCUAUGUCUUGUGAAUUGUGGCUUGUACUCUCUGUUUACUUCGGGAUUCUACAUAAGUCCUUAAGAUGGUUAGGCUAACAGGAAGUUGAGAUGAUGGGAGGGAGGAUUGGUCAAAGGUCGUUUUGCAUUUCUUUUGUUUAUUUGUUAAAUUAGCAUUCUUUCAGCUUGUUGAAUGCUAACUCGGACAUAGGUAAAGACAAUGAUCAAUAAAAGUUCAUAUGGUACAUAAAAAUUGCUAGGCGUGAAGUGAAAAUGCAAUUACAAGAUUAUGUGCACAAAACAGAAGUUGUACAUGCCACAAAUAUUCAUUAACUCCAAACAUUGAUAUCAUUCAUCCAAAUAAUAAAAUUAGCAAUUUGACAAUAUGCAAAUGCAUUGAAGGCAUGUAUAAUUUUUAAAACGAAUAGGGUAUUUCUUGUAAUCAUGUUCGGGACAAUGAUUAACAGGAACAUUAGGAAGAUUAGUUUGGAGGAAAAAAGAAACGAAAAGAGUGGUAAUUAUUGAUAAAAAAAAAAAAGAAAAAUGAUCAUUUUGUUAGGAAGUACAAAUAAGAAUUCUGCCAACUCGCUGGUGUAGAGUUGAUUAAUUUAUUUUUCCUAAUAUAAAUAAUACACAAAUUUAAAAUCUCUCUUUCUUGGCAUUUUACUAUUUGAAGUCAAUGUUUAACAGCAUAUAGGACAUCAUUAGAAAGUUUUACUAACCAGACAACAUUUUCCUUUAUGAAAUAAAAACACUCUAGAAAUUACAUGGGUUGGUGGUGAAUGGUUAAUUCUUUUCACACGAGUGAUUGUAACAAAAGCAAAUGAAGUCCUUGAUCAUUAUAUGAAUAGUCUUCGUGACCAAUCAGUGACAAGUUUGACUUUUACUACUCUAUUAAUUUUCUACACAAUAGUUAGCAUCCAAAACAAAAAAAGUUGUCUUGCUUUUGUGCUCCUUUAUGCUUGAUGAAUCAUCACAACUAACUUUUUUUUUUUUUUUUGUCAAAAAAAAGAACCUGGCCCCACUUCAGGCCCCAACCCUUAUUCGAGUUGUUGGGUUAUUCCCCAUUUUUGUGACAAGACUCGAACACUGGAUCUCGAGUGUACUAACCCUUAGUGAGACCAGCUCGGCUGCCUUGGAGGGUCAUAUCAUCACAGCUAACUCGGUGGUAUGAUUUUGAUAAGGUCUUGAACAGCUACUUAAUAUUCAUACAUCUUAAGAAAAACAGAAUAACCUAAGGCUUUCUUUGAGGGGAGGAGAUGGGUUGGGGGAGGAGGGAAUAUCUAAUUUAGGCCCUUUUAUUCUAAUUCCUAUGUUUUAACACACUUUACCUAGAGACUGGUUUGUGGUGCCAAAGCUAAAGCUGCCAUUGCCAUUGGGUUUGAAUGUUUUCUUGCCCAGUAAUGCAUCCCGUAAUGCAGAGCAAAUCUUCAAAAAAAUGAAGGCCAAAUAUCCCGUCUAUUGAGGAAAAUGUUGAAAUCUCUGAUCCCUGAUAUGAUGCUUUGAAAUGAUUCACAUUUGCUCAUAACGUCGUUUCUAGCCUUCAUUGUUUCAAUGAUCUCUGUAUUGUUGAAUAUUUCAAUGAAGUAGUGGUAUUUUGACUAUUUUCUAAAGAAAGAUAUUUUGGUUUUUUUUUUUUAAAGUUCCAAUAGUUGUAUAGAAAAGUCGUGUAUGGUUAACUAACUGAUUGAGAAUUGGGUACAAGAAGUUCUGCUUUCAUUUUGGCAUUUCUUCAAAUUGAGUUACCUAGGAAAUUGGUUUUGUUGUGUUUGGUAGCUACUAUUUUGCUCGAUUGAAAUCAUGACGAAAUAUUGAAAGUACAUGUCAAAUUUUCAUUUUGCCAAUUGACAUCUUUAACAAAUAGAAGUUUUUACAAACUCUAGAAUAUUGACUAAGAGAAUAGGGUGGGAUAAGUAUUUGGAUUAAGUUUUUAUUUUAACUUUCAUAUUAUUUAGUUUAAAGUUUUAUAUUCUUAUUGUUCAAUUGUUAAAUAGUAAGUACUUUUGCGGCAUAGUGCACAGAUGAGAAAAAAAUUAGUAAUUAGGCUUAUUAGACAUUAUAAAUAAAUAUUUAAAAUUAAUGAUGGGUGCAAAGGGUGGAGUGGGAUAAGUUUUUGGAUUAUGUUUUAUGUUAACUUUCAUAUUUUUGGUUCAAAUUUUUAUAUUCUCAUUGUUCAAUUAUUAAAUAGUAUGCAAUUUCGACAUGGCGCACGAUGGGAAAAAAUUGGUAAUUAGACUUAUUGGCAUUAUAAGUAAAUAUUUAAUAUUAAUGAUGGGUGCAAAGAGUGGUAUAAAUUGAUAAUUUAGUUUACAAAAUAUAUUUAGAUAGGUUUGUAAAAAGUGAAAAUAAAUUGGUUGUAGAUGGAUAAUUGGAUUACCCCACCCAUUUUUUGACUUACUUAUUUAUACCCAUCUAAUUAUAUAUAUAUAUAAUUAUAUAUAAUAUAUAAUAAAGUCGUAUUCUCAUUCUUAUCCCUUUAUGUUUUCUCUUUCUUACGUGGCUUAACGAGAUGGCAAGUAGUUUCCUACGUGGCUUGCUCCUUUUUUGUUUAUAUAUAUAUCAAUUCUUAUUCCCUAUAAGAAUUCUUAAUAUUAUAUGAUUCUUAUUUCCUAUCCAAAAAAAGAUUGGAAAGUAAUGCGAUAUAAAUAAAAGAGAAAUAAAUAUCUCUAUAUAGAUAUAUCUCCAAAUUCAUGCCAAUAAUUUGUGUACUGCAUAGGGAGCCGAAGUAAAUAAGAAUUGUUAUCACUAAAAGAAGUAGAAAGUAACUAAUUUCAAAAGGAACCAUUAAUAACAGAAGUCAAUAUCUGAUGUUGGAAAUAAGAUUCUUAAUAAAUUUUAUUAUUAAGUACGUUAUCAAGACAUAGUGCAUAGCACGAAAUUUAUGGAAAAGAAAAGUUAAUUGAAUCAAUUAACUAUAUGUAUUUGACCCGUAUGGUUAAAUAUAAAUUUCUAUUUGAGCACGGGUUUGUAAAUUUCUAUAAACCCGUUCAUUGUUAAUCAAAAUAUGCAGGUUAUACUCAUGACUAGGUUAUAAGAUUCACAAUACAUCUCUGCUCAGAUGGUGGGGAGUAUUUAGUGUGUGGACCCACACCAUAGGAGUCCAUGCACUAAAAGGACUCGAUAUAGUUGAGGUGGUCUUUCAAGGUAGGUAAAGUUUGUCUUGAGAACGCAUUUUUAUUUCCUAUAAGAAUUCUUAAUAUUAUAAGAUUUUUAUUUCAUACCAAAGUUACGUACUUUAAACAAUUUAAAUCAAGAUAAACCUACUUUUAAUGUUCUCAUCAAUAUCUUUUAUAUUCUUAUCAAUUAUUUCUUAUGCCUACACUACAUAUAGCCUCUAAUAUAUUGAUUUCAAACAUCAAAUUCAUGGUUAGGUAUUUUCAGUGCAAGCGGUUGGCACAUUAAAGCAUCGAUUUUUGGUUUCCACUCCUCUUGAUUAUCAGGUACAUUUUCUUUCAAUACAUAUUUUUUUAAAAAAAGGCAUGUUGAUCUUCAAUUGUAAAAGUUUAGUAACAUAUCUUGAAUUUUGUUUUUAUUUUCUGUUUGUUUUUUUAUGAACACAUAGGAUUAGUAAUAUAUCUUGAAUUAGUAAUAAAAUUUCUCUUAUAUUUCACAUAUUAUAUCUCACAUAAUAUUUUUGCCUUUAAUUUUGAUAAAUCAUUAUCAGAUUGGUGGAACCGACAACCAUACCAACCUGAAGCAUCUUCUUCCUAGAUCCCAAUUAGUAUAAUAGAUUAUUCUAAUCAACAACAUUUCAAUACACUUCAUAUGAAUUAUUCAUCAGAGGGUUCAACAAAAACCACAGAGGAAGGGAAUCCUCAUAAAAAGAUUUGCAUGAGAAGGUAGAUUUAAUAUAUUAUUUUACUUUCUUAAAUUAUAAUCUUUACGUAUUGUUAUACACAAUCUUGAAUGCGAUAAAUCAUUUUUUUUUUUUAUACUUAGUUAUCCUGCUUUGCUAUCAUGCAGUGAUAAUGGAAAAUCAAUAAAUGCUGAUUUGCACGGACAAAUCGAGGAAAUGUUCAAACAGAAGAAAAAGAAAAACGAGUUUCUGAAGAGUAGAAUAUUAUUUGAUACUAUUUACUGCACUUUUUAUUUAUUUUCAAGUUUUUGAAUGUUAUGGUAUUGUCGAAUGUUAUUUUUUUCAUUUUUGAAUUAUUGUUUACUGAAUUAGAUGUUCAAAUUUAUAUUAUAAGAAUACUUUAUAUUACAAUGCGCAUAUAGUAAUAUACUUAAGAAAGGUUAUAAUAAAAUAUACAUUAAGUUUGUAUUUCAUAUCGACAUUUUUAUAAAAUUGACUAAAUAGAUUAUUAUUUUUCGAAGAUUCCCGUUCAACGAACGGGUACAAAACUAGUUAAAUGAAUAUAAAUAGAUUGACUCACUUAUACCUAUGACCCAUUUUAACCCACCCAAAUCAACCAUUUAACACCUCUAAUUUUAGCCUCCAAUGUGAUUUGAUUGAGCAUUUUAUACAUGCAACAACAGUAACUCUGUUCUUGAGCUAGAUUUUGAAUCAUUUAUUACAUCAAUUCCCAAGCCAACUCUAAUGAAGUCUAUUGGCAAUGAAGCAGAGUUUCUUAACAAAUAUAUUUCUACCCCCAUGUUCCAUGACAAAGAGAGUAUGGCCUAUCUUCUUCUUGAGUUUCUUCAAUCCCACCAUUACAAGGGUAAGGUAAACUAUCACCGUCCAAUCACAUGUGCAAUCUAAUAGCAAUACAAAAUGCUACAAUCUUAUUCACUAUCUCUUAUUCUAAGCAAAAUAUUGAAUUUUCUUGUGCUUAGAUUGAUAAUACAAUAGUUAACAUGAAAGUCAGAGAAUUUUAGUACUAUUCUUGAAAAUACCCAUGCAUAUGUAAUUCAUGUGAAAUUAUAUUAUCAAGUGCUUCAGAAGUGUCCUCCUCACAAUGAAGUAGAUGUAACAUGUGUUCUAAAUUUACUUACUGCUACAUUCUUUAAUCUUGUUUAAUGCUAAAUUAGAUGCAGGCAAAGACAACGAUCAUCAAAGAUUCAUAUAGUACAUAAAAAUUGCUAUGCUUGAAGUGAAAAUGCAAUUACAAGAUUAUGUGCACAAAAAAAAGUUGUACAUGCCACAAAUAUUCAUCACUCCAAAAAUUGAUAUAACUCGUUCCAAAAAUUAAUAUAGGUAUUUGACAAUAUGCAAAUGCAUUUAGGGCAUAUAUAAUUUUCAAGAUGAGUAGGGUAUUUCUUGUAAUUAUACUCUGGACAAUGACUAACGGCUAAAUUAGGAAGAAUAGUUUGGAGAAAAAAAAGAAAAAGAAAAGAGAGUAUUGAUCAAAAAAUUAUCAUUUUAUUAGAAAGUAACGUGAGUGCUAUGCGUGCUUUCUCAGAAAUAGAAUGCUGUCAAGUUUCUUGUGUGGAAUUGAUUAAUUUAACUUUCCCAAUAUAGAUAAUAUGCAAAUUUAAAAUCUCUCUUUCUUGGCAUUUUACUACUUGAAGUCAACAUAUAAUGGCACAUAGGACAUCAUUAGGAAAUUUUACCAAGCAAACAACAUUUUUCUUUACGAGACAAAAACAUUCUAGAAAUUAUUUUCAAAUGAGUGAUUGUAACAAAAGCAAAUUAAGUCCUUGAUCAUUGACUAAAUGACUUCAUGACGAAUUAGUGACAAGUUUGAUUCUAAUCGAUGCAAAUUGAGUGCUCAUUUUGAUUCUAAUGGACUAAAUGUCAUAUUAGUAAUAUGUGAGAGACAGUUAGUGUACUUUUUCCAAAUAAAAAAGUGAAAUUCCAGUUUCCCCUAUGAACUCUAAUUCAUGCUUUGAGAGAUGUGCUACUUCCAUUUAAAUGUAAUCCUAGAUGCCUUACAACAAGUAAUUGAUCCAUUAGAUUGUCUUUGUAGUUAAACGUUGGUGAUUUUGGCUCUAGUUACUAUCAUUAUGCAAAGUAAAUCAUGAGACCAUAGGUCGAGGAAGUGGUUCAAUCACAGUAGAGCUAGAACCUUGUGGUAAGGAGAUACAAUAGUCAACUUUAGCAUAAAUCAUGCUCUUAGAUUGAUAUAAGAAAUAGGAUAUUUACUUUGAUUUAGAAUGCCAAAUCCUUUUUUUUUUUAAUUAGAGUGUUGUUAAUGUUUAAUUUGGAAUAGAUCCAAAAUUUUUGUUAGAAAUAAUCAAUAAAAAAUCUUAUUUUUAAGGAAUAAAUGUAGAAUAAGGGAGGAAUAUAUAAAAUUUCAAAAGAUAAUCAAUAUAGAGAAAGGAAUUUUCUUAAAUUUAAGGGGGACAAUACAACUAAAAAGGAGAAUUUUAUGAAAUUCAAGGGUGCAAAUAUGAUGCAAACUUAAAACUCUUGAAAAAUUUCAAGACCAUUGUAUAAUUUUAUCAAAUUUGUGAGGGACAAUUGCCCAUCUACAAUCCUAUGUGACUUCACCGUUUUUCAGUCAUACCUAAUGAAUCAACAUGUGUUGGCUUAAGGAGCAUCCACUUCAUAGUGAAUUAUCUUAGUGCUAAAUUCUUCUCUCGUUUCUAGUACUAACUUAAGAUACAAGUACAACAAUAUGCCAUAUGGAUUGUUCUUUUUUUAAAAAAUUAUUUUUGUUUGUGAAGUUUACAAUAACUUCAAAAAUACAGACAAUCUCAAAUACACCUAAAAAAAAUAAAAAAAAAAUUAAUUUCCACCCAACAGACAUACCACCACCACCUAUUACCACCACUUCCUUCCUCCUCCUCUCUCCUCCCUCUUCCCUCCCCUCUUCCUUUCUUUCCCUCCCUCCUGUGGCGGCAGUGGUGGGUGGUGUUAUUUUCAAAUUUUAAAAAUAUUAAAAUUUUUUUAAUUCUAAAAAUAUUUUAAAAUACAUCCUCAAAACACCCUAAAAAAUACCUUCAAAAACACUUAUAAAAACACCUAACUAUCUGUAGUAAAAGUUUUUUUUUUACAAACACUGUUACAAUAAAAUUUUUAAAUAAGCACCCUAAAAAAUACCUAAUCCAUGCGAAGCCAUGAUUAGAAAAGGUUAGUAUGAUGCGUGAAAAUUGUUAUGCAUAAAUUUGCCGAACAAUCAACCUAUAUCUUUUCAAAAGAAAGUGAAUGUAAGAAAAUAUGACCUUAUUAUGUUUUUCAUGAAUAAUCAUGUUCUUCAAAAUAGUUAACAUCGAAUCUAGGAAGAAUAAUUUGAAGAGAAAAAUGACUGGUUUAUUAUAAAUAAAAGUAUAAAAAUAUACUAAGAAGGAGCACUAACUAUUUCACACUAACUAUAAUUUAUUAAACUCGUGGAGUUUACUAAUGGAGUUUGCAUGAUAUAGAUAACAUACACAUCCAAAAUCGCGCUCACUUGAUGGUGACUUUCUUCCAUUAUAUUGCUGGUGGUCUACAAUUGGAAGCAUAUUUUCUCGGAAUUGGAAGCACUUAAAAGUGUUUUACAAUGAAGACUUCUAUGGUUAGAUCUAUCAAAUUGUCAACUGUUUUAGAAGUAUCCACUUCAUAAUAACUAAAUAACAUACAUGCAUGUUUGUGUUUGGAUUGCUAUGUUUUAAAGUUUUAUAGAAAAAUUUGUUGUAACGAUUUCAUGUAUAUGAGGUAAAGGUGAUUGGAAAUUGUGAUCACAAAAAAUGUAAAAUUUUUCCUAGAAAAAACCUCAAUCCAAACAAGGAAGCGCUUCUCUGCAGAUUUCUCUCAGCUAAUUAUACUAAUUGAGAAACAGGCAAGACAUUAAUUAUUGCAAAUUAAGGUUGGUAGAUUAGUUGAAAAAUAUUUUGCUUUAACUUGCCAAACAAUCGACCAAUACUCUAUUUGCGCACAGGCAUUUAGGGCAUAUAAAUUUUAAGAUAAGAAAAAUUGAUUUCACUCCAUUUCUAAUGUAUAAUCAAAAUUUCCACACAAAGCUAAAAUCUAAUCCAGGAAGAAUAGAUUCGAGGGGAAAAUGGCUGAGAUGUUAACUGUCGAUCCAAAAAAAAAAAACAUAAACUUAAUUUAAAGUACAUUUCAAGAGCCAAAUUGCUUUAAAUCUUUUUCAAUACUAAAUAAUCCAAAUGUUAAAUCACAAAAUCACUCAAAUGCAUGCUCAUAAACAUAUAAACUGCAUUUGUAUUGUCCCGGCAUCUUUAUUAUUUAGAUAACAUAGGAAGCUUCUCUCCCUUUGACUGUUCUUGUAUUUAAUUUUAUUUACCUUUUUUGACAUCAUUCUUUUCUUUAAUUCUGAAUGACUUCUUUUUCAAUACUAUUCUUCAUUACUAUAUAUGAUCAAUUUCAAAAGCAUCCCUAACAUAGUGAACUGACCUAUCAUCCUCUAAAUUACCCUUCUAUGUUUUGAUUUCAAUCUUUAGAUGGAAAUAUUGCUGCCUGCCUUUAAAUCAUCAAGUCAGACUUCGAUAGAGUUUGUUUUAUUAAAGACAAUUAAUUCACAGUUAUUGCUACAUGCACAAGAUAUGCACGAUAAAUUUGUAUCGAAAACAAUCUACUGAGCUUGAUUGUCUUCAGAGUGGAAUGUAGCAUUUUGAUCAUUCCACCAUAUGAUUCUGAGAAUGCUUUGGUUCUUCCCAAAUCUUGUUGCAAUCUUGAUUAUAUAGUCAAAAUGAGCCAAAUUCUUGGAUGGAUUCCAAAAAAUGGAGUUGUUAAAAGUUAUUGCUCUGAUUUUCAGUUCACUAUUUACUAUAGAUUGAUCCAACCCAAUUAAGACAAACUCAGCUAUGUAAAAGUUGAUGGUAAAUGGAACUUGAUUUUCUUUUUUGAAAAAUAGCUAGGUAAUGGGCAUGGUUCUCUCAAAUUUCGUUUCGUCCCACUAAAAUGCUUUCAAAGCAAACGUAAUAUAUCCUUUGCUCAUCUCUACAUCGUAAGUGCAUCAAAUUAUGCACAUUUGGAUUGGAGAAUUUGACGAAAGAUUUGAAAUCCACUCAAAUCGCUCUAGUUAUUUGGGUAACUUUAGAUGCAUUUAGAUUUGUAAUUUACCAAUUAUCAAAAUAUAUUUUAAAAUGACAAUAACCGGCGAUUUACAAAUUCAAAUACCUUCUGAAUAAUUUAAACAAUUAGAGGGAUUUGAGAGUAUCUUUCUUCAAAUCCUUGAAUCCAAACGUAGCCUGAAAUUAGAGGAGUAAUUAGAGGUCCUGAAGGAAUUGUUAUUGCUGGAACUAAAAUGACCAUAGGGCACAGCAAUCAAACGGCAGAAUUACGUGCACUUUUUUCUUCUUUUAACGAAAAAUUAUGCGCACUUAAUGUAGGACUUGCAAUUGGAUUGAACUAAUAUCUCACCUCUAAUUAUUCAGUCUGAUUCUUGGGUUAUUGUGAAAUACAUAUGUAGACCUCCACAUGCAAACAAACUUGAUCAUGGAACGCGGGAUUGUCAGGACAUGUACUAUUGGCAGAUCCUUAAAUAAACGACCUGUCUACUUAGCAUCCCCUCCGGCUUAAUAUUUUGGGCAUGCAAGUUAUGAUGUACUAAAACUAAUAACACCUAGAAUAGGUCUUGCACAUAACCGUGUUUUAGUAAUGGAAUCUUUGUUUAUCUCAAACAUGUAUAAUGGUGCCUUAAUAGUGCUGGUGGCAUUGGCGCCUACUAUAUAAACCAUUUAACUGUUACUCCUGGGCAGCUCGUUUGGUCACGACAACCCCUUGGAAGUCGUUGUCCAACUCUCCCACCAGGGAUCGAGUCUCAGGAUUACCGUGUUCGGGGGAAGGGCCUCUCCUCUCAGGUUGGAGUGGGAUUAGUCGGGUCCCGUAAAGAUUGACCCGGACACCCACCCCGUCAGCCAAAAAAAAAAAUAUAUAUAUAUAUAUAUAUAUACACACACACACACACCAUUUAACCACUAUCCCUUCAAUUUUAUCUUCCUUUAUAUAGAUUGGUAAUAGUUCACGUGAUUUGCAUGUGAUCACAGUAUCAUGAUAUAUGAUAUUUCUUAUACACUAAUUUUUUGGCAAAAUUUUAUUGUUAACAUCAUAAUUUAAUAUGUGCAUAUUUUUCAUCUUUUUUGACCAAUUAUCUUUAAAACUUUAUUUUAAAUUAACUGGAGGUAUCACCCAUUUGUUAAAUUUUCUCUAGAGAAUUUCUCUGAAUUUAUUGUGGACUUUUUUUUCUAGCUUGCUAAGCAAAAGAUAAUUGUUUGGACAAAUAAUGUUUGUUUGCUCUACCAUUAUUAUUUUUUAUGGUUUGCAAGUUGAAUAUGUUAGUACUUUGAUGUAAUUUUUCAAUAUGAAGUGAUAUGCAUUGUUUUUGAAAAAUGAAGGGAUGUACGCACAUUCUUUAAAAUUGAACUCUUUUGCAUUCUUUUGUAUGAUAUUUUUGUUAUUAAUGGAGUGUAAAUGAUCAACCAGAUACAAAGAUUUUAUGUAUGACUGUUCAUUUUUACAAUUGAAAUUUCAUUUCUCCAGAAUAAUUGAGUUUUUCUUUUUCCUUUCCUUUCCUUUUCUUUUAUUUUUUUUUGUGGAUAGAAUUUGAUACAAAGCACAAAUGACAAAGACUCCAUUAUCCUAAGAGCACCCUAUUUUUGUACCAAGAGUAACAUUUAUGACGAUUUAGAAAUUGAAUUAGGCUGUAAUUAAUCAAGAAAUUUAGAUCGAAAUAAAAAGUGUUGCUUUGUUUAUUGUCUUCAUAGUUCAACGUCAAUUAAGUUUUUAGUUUUUGGCCUUCAUAAGUGAUACCAUUAUUGACUAUUAUUAGAACAUAAUAAAUCUAAUUAUUAGGAAGAAAAGGCAUUUUUGGCAUAAUGUAAAAUUAAGACAAAUCUUACUUAAGCUCUAUUCUUCCUAAUUAAACCUAUACCAUACUUAUAUAAACAGGAGUAUUUGGAAAAAGCUGCACAAAGUAAGGCUACUUGGAACUGUUUCGUACCCUCUUUUCUUGUUCUCUUCUACCACAUAACUACAUAUUCAACAUAUGGCGGAGGACAGACAAAGCUUCAUCUUUGGAUCUGAGAUUUAUAUUCACUAAAGAUACGCCAUUAGAUUUACAUGGUGAAAAUGAAACUUAGUCGAAUGACGUGUCAAAUGUGGUUUUGGCAAGGUGACAUAUGAUUUGUCUUUCAUUAACUAUUGCUACCUCGGUAAAUUCAUUGCCCGUAUGUUGUUCGCUUGUCAUAGCAAAAAUCACAUUUUGCAUUUGAUUUAGCACAACGCAAAAUUUUUUAAGUAUCCAAAACGACAACCAUUUUCCCAACUAAGAAAAAAAAAAGACAACCAUUUUCUUAAUGUAUACACUGUUUAUGUGGCAUUCCAUAAUUAACUUUCAGCAAAUGCCCAAUAUAACCAUUAUGGCAGCCAAUAAGGACUCAAGUGUCAACUAAUUUCCAACUUUUUUUUUUAACCUCUUAUAUCUUUUCACACCCUUCUCACUCCCAAUUAUCAGGAUUCGAAUUUUGAACUUAACAGUGAAAGGAGAUCUAAAUCAACUUCAACUUCAUUAAAGCAUAAUGAAAAAUUUUGAACAGCUAACACGAGUUAGUUCAAUUGGUAAGGACGGCCAAUUUUUUUUUUUUUUUUUACAAAAACAGAUGUGUUUAAAUUCCAUUAUCAACAUUAGCACUGUGCUGUUGAACGACUUGUAAGUUUUAAAUGACUUAUGAUCCACCUGUGUUGAUGCUCGAAGCCAAAUCAAUUUUGAGCAAAUUGCAAUUCAGGAAAAGAAACCCUUGAGAAGGGCAUUAUGCUAUAAAAUGAAAUGAAUUGGUGAGUUCAAAGUGGACUUAUUUUGACUAAUAUAAGCAUGAAAAAGUUGAUUCAUCUCUCAUUAUAAGUAAAUAGAUUUUGUUUAUAAACUCCCCGUGCAUUAUACGUGUUUUUUUUUUUUUGAGGGCAAUACGUGCAUUAUACGUGUUUGGACUUGGUAAUCAAUUUUGAGGGUAAAAAACAAUAAUCGACAUUAGGAAGGGCCAACUAAAGACAAAAUAGAGCCUAAGAAAAUUAUGAAGUCAAAUUUUGUACUCACAUAUCAUUACAUCCCUUCAAGAUCUGCUCUUGUCAAGUCACUUCACUUCCCACAAUCCCACUUCAGUCAGCUGACUUCCCACUUAAAAGUGAAAAAUCCCACCAAAUUGUACGAACAAACACCGGAUUUCAAACUCAAAAUUUAGCUAAAAUGCAUAUACCACCCAGAAUCCGCGAGAAAUUCCAUCAGAAUUCGAAAAUUCCUCUGCAUGCAAAGCCAUUUCUUCUUGCAGAUGUCCUAGUACCUGUAACGGCUAUGUCUGAGAUUACCCAUUCAUGGCCAUAAUUUUAAAAAAUGCAGCUUAUUCUGUACUCUUAGUUAACUAGUUCUGCACUCAUCACUGCGUCAGCCCACAAAAACCUGCCUUUUCCUUUCAUCCGACGACGGAAGUUCCUAGGCUUAUUGAUAAAAUCUCCUUGAUUUCUUCAAUUUUCAACUCUUGGGGAGAAAUUUUGGUGCAGGGUCGACGAAUUAAGGGCCAAAUUCGAGUUGGGUUGGCAAAAAUAUAAGAUUUUGGAGGUGGGUUUUGGGAAUUAGGAGCUAGGUUGCCAGCAUUUCUUGGGUUGGGGUAAUUUUGCCUCGUGGCUCUGUGGGGAUUUAAGUUGGGCAAUGGAUGUUAACGGUUUGGGUGUUUUGGAUUCGGUGAAGGAGCUUCAACUUCAAAGCCAGCUGAUUGAAGCUGGGGUGAAGCUUCUGGUGCCAUCUUCUUCUGCCGAUGAUCUUCUUGCUGCCCUCGAUGUAAAGAUCAUUUCUUUUAUGCUACAUUUUCUGCAUUCUUUUGAUGUUGGCUUGAUUUAUAAUUUUGUUUUAGCUAUUUUGCAUGCAUGUGAGAAAUCGUGUAAAAAUGUUUUUGAUUUGGUCUUAUUGGGGUCCUAUAAUUCGUGCUAAAAGGUUAUUUCUUGAGCGUUUUUGUUGAUUUAGUUCUUUGGUUUUGGGUGGUUGAGAUUGUAAAUUGGCGCUUUAUUUAUUUGGUCAUGAAUUUGCUGGAAAAAUGUGAAUUCUUUCCCUAAUAUUGGGUUUGAUUUUGUAAACCACAAAAAAUAAUUGCAUACGUUUACCAGUUGGUAAGAAAUAGGCUAGCACCAAGCACGCACGAGGCACUAAGAGUUGUUCCUAGUACAUUAUUGUUUCAUAAUCAUUUUGAAUAAGGCAAAAUAUUUAUCGCAUUUUUGUUGAUUUUCGUGAUCUUUAUUUCUCAGUCGUAGGUUCAUGAUUGUUUGAUGGCUUACUUCUGCCUGAUAAAUAUUGUGAAUGAGGCUGUCCUUUUUCCUUGAUGAAUUUGUUAUUUGUUCAAAUUUGUCGGCUUACUUCUACAUAUGAUUUUGCGUUCCACCUCUCAUAGUGUAAAUUAACCAUCAUCCUCUUUUUCAUUCUGUUGUUUAGAAAGUAGAGGACCUUUUAUCCAUUGUGGGUCAAGAUCCUUCCAGUUUGAUUCAAGAUGGGCUCUUGCCUUCGAUGAUGGCUUUGAUCUCUGAUAGGCUGCUUAGACAUCCUAAUACAGAUGUCAGGAUUUCAGUUAUGUCUUGCAUCUGUGAGGUGUUAAGGAUAAGUGCUCCGCAUCAACCUUAUGAGAAUGAAAGAAUGAAGGUAAGCUGAACACCUACAACAAUAUCUACUCUUUUCUGUAUUUGUUUGUCUGCUUCCUAUUGUAUACUUGUUUAGAGCCAGUUCUCAGCCUUUUCAUUUGCAUGCUGUACAGGAUAUUUUUCGGUUGACUUUAGCUGCAUUUGAGAAGUUGUCGCUUUUCUCUGGUCGCUGUUAUGCUAAAGCUUUGCACAUUCUUGAAAUCGUUGCAAAGGUCAGAUGCUGCAUCAUCUUGCUGGACAUAGGCUGCGACUCAUUGGUCACUAAAAUCUUUGAAGUCCUUCUAAGUACCAUUAAGUAAGGCUAAGAUGUUACAGCUAAUCUUUAAAUGUAUUUUUAUUGUCAAGACAUUUUGAUUAACUGCCUUUUCUCUUUGGAUCUUGUAGUAAUUGAUAUUUGUUAGCUUCUUUAAAUUAACUCUAAUACUAACAAUUAUAGAAUUCGAACUUGUAAUAGCAUUCCCAUUUUCCUGCAAAUAUGAUCUGCUUUCAACUUCGUGAACUCCUCAUUUAGCAGCAAUGAAAUUGAAAAUUUGCUGGAUUCAUGGCAAACCUUUAUUACUUGUUGUCGAGUGAUCAACUCAUGGUUUGCAAUGCAACUUGCAUAACGGAGUAAUUUAGAAAGUUGUACCAAAUUAAACAAAUUAGAGGUAUUCAUUUGCUAAUCUUGCACCUGUCUCAUGCAAGUCAACACAUUCAAUUGUGAUGUGCUGAUUGUUGUUGUGUUUGAAUGUCUAAUACAAGGUUCAACCACCCGCAAGCUGUAUUCUCAUACAUGGAAGACAUUAUGACUUGGCUUUUAGAUGAGAGUGAUGACAUCCCAUUGGGUCUUUUAAAGCCGCUUCUAGCUAGUGUGAAAAAGGAAAACCAGGUACCCUUCCUUAUAUAGAUCUCUGUUUCAUUUAUUCUUGUUCUUGUUUUAUUAUUACUCAGUUACCUUUAUUGUUUGCCUCAGAUUACUUCACCCGUUUCCUCUUGGUUAGGAGAGAAAGUAUUAAAGAACUGCUCAACUAAAGUCAGACCUUAUCUUAUGAAUGCAGUGAAGUUAAUGAGGCUAGAUAUUAAUGAUUAUGCCGAUAUAGUUGCUUCGUUAUGCCGAGAUAUGCCAGCUGGGGACAAUGUGGUGCGAUAUCUUCUAUCCUUCAACUGACUUCUUUUUUGGCAAAAGGCAGAUGUAGUUAUGAUCUGUGCUCAUCUCCAAAUGUUCAUGCUUGCUUCUCAUAUAGUUUUUCGUUGCUCAUUGUAUUUGUGAUGAUGGAGAUAUGUUUGGACUUCCUAAAAUUUCUUGUUUGUUCUCCUUCACUUUGUUAUAACGAGACAUUAGAAAAUAUACUAACACUCAUCUUCCCUUAACUAAUAGCAAAAUUUGAAGUCAUUCAGUAAGUUAAUCAACUUUAAGGAGUAACUUAUGCUGUCAGUGGUUGUUCAUUCAAAUUAUGCUAUGUGUCCCAGAUGUGAGACUGAAUCUGUUGUCUCUCAUGCAUCAGGAAGUUUUUAGUCUUUAAGUUUGGAGUUCUUUAAAUUUAUUUGCGAAGUUGACUUUUUCCUAAAGAUGAGAAAAAGGUUCUUGUAAGCAAAAUUAGCAGACCAGGCAUAUCAAAUGGUUGGUAUUCCCCUGCUAAUUUCUGGUCGCUCUAGUGUAGAUGGUACGGAGUCCAUUGUGUUUGUUUCUGGUUUAUCGUUCUUCUUUCUGCUGUUGGAGUAGUUGAAAUAAAGAUAUGAGAUUGGCUUUGAUUUAUUUAUUUUGAAUUAAUCAGGUGAUGGUGGAAGCAGAAGCAUAUGCAUUUUUUGUGCCAGCAGAGGCUGAGCUUUGUGGUUCACUGCUGCAUGAUGGCACAUCUCUACAGAUUGAUGAUGAUGACAGCAGAUCAAAGGAUGAAAUUGAGCAGACGAAGAGCAUGGCUAAAGAAUCUGUUGCCGCUGAAACUUUAGAAAGUGGAGGAGAAAUUCAAGCAAGAAGCAGGUGUUGGAAUAGUACCAAGUAGCAUGGGAAGAGAAUCUAAAUCUCUGGUAGAACGAGAGAAAGAUUAUGAACAUUCUGGGAUGACUGGCAGCCCAAAUUCUCUUGAAAUGCCUUAUAAGAGGAAGAAUCAUGGAAAAGUCAGUAGCUUGCCACAUAGUUUGUCUGCAGAAGAGUCAUCUUUUCAUCUAGAACCAGAGAAGGAGAGCGAACCAAGUUAUUUUCAACCUAGAACAGCACGCUUUAACAGCACACCUCCUCCCAUUUCCCAGAUCCAAGUGAUGUAGGUAAAAGUCUUCAGAGAAGGGGUAGGUCAAAGAAGAAAGGGAACAUGGCUAAUCAUGAUAGUGAUCUUGAUGGUCUUUCAGGGCUUGAUGGUCACUUAAGAAUAGGAUCUUCCAGAACAAAACAUGCUGAAGAAAACCCUGUGAGAUAUUCAAGGAGGAAGAAAUCCGCUGUUAAGAAUAAUAUGGAGAGAACUGCUGUGUAAAGAAUGUAGUUAUUAAGACGGAAAAAGACAUCCAUAGUGAUUCAGAAGAACAACCACUUAUUAUAUAAGUUAAAGGAUGGAAGAAAAGGAGCAGAAGACAAAAAAGCUCUAAAAUCUGAGGUAUUGUGUUUGUUCAUCAAUAAGUCAAGUGGAGGAACUUUGUUUGUAUAAGUGAUGUUUGGAUGCAUUACUACCUAUGAUGAUUAAAACCUUCCAUAUAAGCAAAGUGGACAAAGCUUUUUCACCACCCAAAUAGGAAAGUAGGAUGUUCAAUUUGUGGAGGGAGUAAAAAUUUGAUUUUCCAAGUAAAGGGAGAAGCAUUCUUGUAGCUUCAGUCUAAAGCUUUCUACUAGAGAAUGUAGAUCAAUAGAAUCAUGCUUGGCCUCUGUUGAGAUCUUCAGCAAGCACUCCUGGUUUCUCUAAUGUGUCUCAGCAGUGAUUGCUAAAUCUUGUUUCUGUCUCAUAUGCCUUGUUCUAAUGCAUUUUUCCCCCCAUAUAAUCUGUGGUGGUUUUUGUAUCUUAUUUCUGAUGUUCCUGUAAAUAUUUCUUUAACCAAUUAGGUAUCCAAGAAACCUAGAAUUGCCAAAGAGUAUGGUGAAGAAUUAGUUGGUUCAAGGAUAAAGGUCUGGUGGCCCAUGGACAGUCAGUAAGUAACUUAAAUGUUGAUAAUUCUCUAGACUUUGUAUCCAUCCUCCAUAUAGACUUCUUAAAUCUUAAAUCUUAAUGUUACUGUCAUUUUGACUUUAGGCUAAGUUGUUCUGCUUCUUUGAAAUACUUAGAGUAAUGGGAGAAUCUUCUAAGCCGUGUUUGUUGAUCUGGAUGUUACUUGUUAGAUAUUUGAAGCUAUUUUGAUCUGGCUUUUUUUCCAUCCUCAGCAAAGCUUUAAUAUGAUUUUUUUGGGCUUCAUUUUGACAUGUCCUUCCACCUAAACUACAUCAACCCCAAUUCUCGAUGCCUUUUUGCUCAAUUUAAAGUCUCCCUGUUUUUAUUUUCUGUUGGACGACACCAUUUUAAGUCCUGCCUUAUCAGUUAAACACCAUCAGUGGAAACUAACUUAGCUGGAAAGUACAAAAUUCUCCAAAAAGGAUGUUUUGGCUUCAAAAGCAUAAUUUAUGAAGUUCGUUCAGCUAAGCUAGGGUCCAUUUUACUACUAUUGCCUGCAAUCAGACAAGACCACGGGUUUCCAACAACUCUGCAUAAUCCCAAACUGAAAAAACUAGGAACCUUAUUAACUGCCACAGUGAAUCUUUUCAGAGUUCCAGCAAACCUUUCCUUGACCGAGCAUUUCUCUGUAUUUUUCCUCUCCACAGCUGGGCAAUUGCUGCCUGAAUCCUCUAAUCGUUUUAGUAAAAGGAAUUUGAUACCGGAUUAUGAGUAGUGCCCUUAAAAUUUCCGUUUGCUGCAUCAAGCCAAUACUUUCAUUCUUGAAUAAGCCUUUUCUGAUCUUGGAAUAUGUGAUGGAAUGACGUUGCCUUGUUGAUUUGUUCUGUUGAUAUACGAGUUUUACUGGUUGGGAGUUUUUCUGGCAACUUCGGUGUCAAUGUGGUUUGGUAAAAAUCUUGACUAUGCUGUAAUAUGUACAGCAUCUCGCGCGCGCGCACGUCUGUGCAUGUGUGUGUGUAUAUUUAGUAACUUUGUAUUUGAAUCAACUCGGGCAAUUUUCUGUUAUUUCCAUUUGUACGAAGCUGAUUGAUAGGAAUGCAUGCCAUUGUAAAAGAAUCUUCAGUCUGUUAGAUCUAAGCAUGACAAAGUGAGGUCAGUACUGAAGCUUUCCUGUUGGAUAAUGUACUUGAUUACCAUUAAAGCUUGGAAGUUUGAAGUUGAUUGAAAAGGGCAUAUAGUUUGAGUGUAGGCAGAUUAAAGAUGGAUCGGUAAUAGCUUUGUUGAUUUGAAUUAGCAGAAAAGGAAACAAAUUCGAACCUUCUCUGGAGAAAUCAACCUAUCGGUGAGUAAUACUUGGGUCUGAAUGAGAUUUUAUUUUUCCUCUAGGGAUAAGUAUGUCCUUUUGACUUUGAAAGUUGAUAUGUUCAACGAAUACAUGAUCAUGAAUGUAUUGUAUGUACAGACUCCUUGGUGGCAAGACACCUUGGUCCAGAUUUUGCCGAAUUGACAAUGAACUUAAUUUUAUGAUUAGCACAGGUAGUGUUAUUGUUGAAAUGGUAAACUGGUUCUUCCAUAAAUUCCAAAUGAAAAUUCUACCACUGGGAUUGAGAUAAUUCAUCAAACUUCACGUAUUACAUCGGCCAAACUUGAGCCAUUUAUGCCAUCUUCAGUGUUAGGAAAGAAAUGGAAUGACAUUUUAUCUUAUUCAUUUUCUUUUGUGCAGGUUUUAUGAAGGCGUUAUUGCUUCUUUUGAUCCUUCAAAGAAGAAACAUAGGUGAUAAUUUUUGCAAAGAUGGCCUAUUUAUUUACUAUUGCUAUCAUCCAACUCUCCAAAUCCUCCUGCACCCUUGGUUUGCUUCAUCCUGUAUAUUAUACCUCCAUGUUGUGCUUUUAGGCUGUGAUCUUUAUCACAAACUUAUAAUAAGAGAAGAGCACUUGUAAACAUUCCCUUUUAUCCUUUAUGAAUAUGACCUUUUGUGGUAGAUCCAUUUGCUACUGUAUUUCUCCCUUUGAUACAUAAUAGUCUUAAUUACUUUAAUAUAUUUAAGUGGCUAUAUAAAAAUUUUUGCUCCAUAAUACAUUCCAGGAGAGCUGCUGUAUCUCACUGGUUUAACAUUUUGUGGUGAUCAAGAAUGUGCUGAUAAAUGGUUGUUUGUCUUGUGAGCCAUCACAUGCUCAUUUGCUCUCACCUGUGUUUCAGGUUUUAUAUGUUGAUGGUGAUCAGGAGAUUUUGAAUCUGAAAAAAGAACGUUGGUUUCUGCUUGAUGACCAAGUCAGUUACCUGAUUUUAUGCUACUCUUCAUUGUACAUUUUUAGUUUUCUGUCCCACCCCCAUUUCCCCCAACCCCCCCCCCCUCCUCAAAUGUUGAUGGGAUGUGAUAUUAUCAGGAGAAAAAGGGCAGCCUUACAAGUUCUGAUGCUGCUGCUGUUCGGUAAGCACUAUUUGAGAAGGCUGUGUGUAUUCCUUUAGAUCUUUAAAACUUCUUUCUGUUGAAAAUCUCUCUUUUAACUUAAUCCACAAGUUUUCUCAAGUAGUAAAUGAGGCACUUUUUGAGGUUGUACUCUGCUUGCCCAUAUCUGGAUCUGCAUGAUAAGUUUUAUGCUCAUGUUCAACGUGAGAAAAGUUGAUGGUAGUCAUUUGCUGUUCAUGUAGCCAUGACAUUGAUUGGGAACUUCUGUACAUGAAUUUCCUUUUGCUGGGUUGCUUGUUAUUGGUGCUAGAUGAUCGUCUUCUUGCUCAUUUAAUGACUUAACUGGUUAGUGUUUUCUUAUGUCUAAUUGUUUCAAAUUGAAUAAUCAAUAAAAGUUGGCCGAAAACGAGGAAAAGGGAGCUAUUGUAAUCGAAACAACCCUAAUAUUAACUGUAAAAAAAAAAAGACAAAAAUCCUACAAAACCAUGCUAUAUCAAACUCUUUUCUAUGGAAGACGUUUCAUGUAAUGCUUCAUAUCUUGUCAUUAUUUUUGGUAUUUUAUGUUUGUUUACUGGACUCUUUAACUCUGCGACAUUGCUCUACUUUUGACUAUAAUAACAGGCAUUUCCUCUACUCUAACAUGGUGAUGUACUUUAAAUUAGAGCAGGCAUUGGGAGUAUAACCACUUAAUCCAAAUUAGAAUUGUAUGUUUCUUUUAUUUUGUCAAUGCUUUUAUUUCUUUUCUCAUCUGAGGUUAUUGUUUGCUUUGGCCGAUGAACAUCAUUGAUUCACAGAAGAAGAAAGCGAACACAAUAACAAGAUAAAACUAAGAUGAUUCUGUUUCUUCAGAUAAAAUGUGUCUAUUAAUUAUUGAGUUCUGGAAUUUUGUGAUGCAUUCACGGCAUUUUGAUAAUUUGUGUAUGAUUGCAAUGAAAUAAAUUGCCAAGGGUUUCAUAACAGCCUAGGAAUUUCUGCUUUUAGAUCCCGAACUCGAGGCCGAAAACGUGGUAGGAAGUCAGCAGCAAGAUCUGCUCUGGAUAUUCUUCACAUCAAAACCGAAAUCGAUGUUUUGGCAAAGGAUGAUGAAGAAUCAAAGGAUGAGGAGGAGAAUCUCAGAAGUGAAACUCUCACGGAUGCAAGUAAAUCUAGCAACUAGAAGCUUAGCUGCACAAUCUAAAAAAGCAUCUCAGCAAUAACUCAACUGAUAUGCAUGGCAAAUCGCUAUUAUCGCAUCUUGAGAGUGGCAGAUUAAACUGCUCAAAACAAUAUAUGAGAAUAUCAUAAAGCUAACAUCAUGGCACUUUUGAAGAGCAGAUCUUCUGAAAUUUUGUGGAACUUGAUCUUGAUACAUGCUAUGCAGUCGAUUUCUGCAUUUAUAUAACCUUGUGAAACUUGUGGGGAUAGUAGUUAGCUCUUAGGCAUAGACAGGGCAUGACUUGUUAUCUCAGCCAUAUGGAGCUCUGGCAUGACUUAUUAGCACAGCCUAUGUUGUAAUGUAUCUCUAGUUUAGGUACCUUUGCUCCUUGGAAUCGCUUUUGGUGCCAGCAUGCUGAUGCUGCAAAUACAUGCUUGGUGGAAGUAACAAGUGAAUAAGGCUACUAUAUAUAUAUUCUGGUGGUAUUCCUGUCUAAAUUGGAACAAGUUCUUGCUUUCAGAACAUUUCCAUGCGUAUAUUUUUUUUUUUUUUUUUUUAACAUCUCUGUUUAGAAGUCAGAAAGAUCCAUGCAAUGACUUAAAUUCUUCCAUCCAGAUGAACUGGAAUAUCUUAAUUAAAACUGUGCUUUGCUGACUGAUGAGUGGUCAAAGAAAGAAAAUAUGUUUGUCUUUUGUGCUUUUAAAGUUUUGUGAGGGUUCAUUUGGAUUAGAUUGUGAAUGCAAGGGUUUAUGGCUUUUUGGCACUAUGCAUAACAUAGUCGUUUACAUUUUGCCAUUUGUUCUUGACAAACAUACUAGCUUAAUUCUUUAAACAAUAUAAAAUACAACAGACUUAAAAAGCAAAAUGUCAAAUAAAAUGGAAUUUUUAUGAAUUUUCUGUUGUUCUCUAGAAUUUUUUUUUUUGGGAUCUCUCGCUUACAUCCCUUAUUUUUUUCUUGAUGUUGCUUGUCUAGUUUUAUGGUAGUAUAAAUUUGGUACGAUUAAUUCUGAGUGUAAAAAGAACAAAAUAUUCAAAAUCCCUCCCACCCACCCCCCUUCCCAAAAAAAAAAAAAAAAAAAAAAAUCCUACUGUUUUUUUUUGCAUCGAAAUAUAUUUUUUUCACUUUGGUGAUAUCAUACUCAACAUCCAUCCUAAAACUUUUAUCGUGGAAAAAAAAUUAAUACAGAAUGUGAUGUGAACAAUAUGAUGGCACAUUACACAUAUGCAUAUGAGAAAUUAUUUUCCCUGAAGUACAGUUACAAAGUCCAAAAGCAAAAUUUAGAGUUAGCAUAAUUAUACUUCUUCUGUCCUAUUGAAACUUAAAAUUGUCAGACUUUUCAUUUUUUGAUAUUUUAAAAUGUUUGUCAUGUUAAAAAAUAAAAAAUUUAAAAUGUUUAUCAUGUUUUUGAGAUUUCCCUUUUUGUCUUUUCUUCUAAUAUAGUCUUUUUAUUUAAUCAUAUUCAUAUUAUCAUUUAAAUUUAAAUUUUAAAUUUGUUAGAAUAAAAUUUAAAAGAGAAAUACAAAUAUCACAAUCAAAAUAUUCUUAAAAAGUUGUAAUAUUGAAACAUGACAAACAAAUUGGGAUGGAGUAACUAAAUGAAAACAAACGUGAAUAAUUUUGGGAUAUUUUAAAAGCAUAAAAACGCAUGUUUAUUUACUACAUUUUUCUGAUCCUAUGAGAAAUAUUAAAUUUUAUUCCCUGGAAAUUUUAGCUAAAAGUCCAAAAUCGGAAGAAAAACAAAAUAGAAAAAUAAAUACAAAAGCCUACGUGAUUCUGCCUUCCAAAUUCUAGAGUAUAACGGAUAGACCAACUUGGCGCCAAGUCUCAAUUCUCGUCUCACACUUAGGCUAGCCUUUUCAUCUCUCUCGUUCGCUACAUCAGUGAUCAUAUUUCUUCGCUCAUCCAAGUUUUUCCUCAGGUGAAUACCAUAUCUCUAUAUUUCUCUGUGUAAUCUCCAGAUUGAGUUCAUUUCUUCCUUGAAUUCUAAGAGUUCAUGGUUUUGCGGUUGAUUAUCCUUUUUUUGGGGCCAAAUGUCUAUGUGUUUCAUUUUGGUGAUCUUUUGAUUGCCGAACAAUGGUUUUGCGGAUGAUUAUCUUGGUUAAUGGGUUUAUUGUGAAUGAAAAUGCUUGCAACUUUGCAGAUGGUGACUUGUUUCAAAUUGGGAUUUCUGCAUUAUACAUGAAACGAAAUUGUAUGUUUGAAUACCAAUAAAAAGGCCAUGGAAUGAAAACAAAUAAAACAAUCAAACAGGGAACUAAAGAUAAGUUGAUUGAUCUUUUUAUACUGAUUGUUGAAAGACUUCUAUGAACUGAAGAUUUAUACAUUUUCUUUCUGGGUAAGUCUGAAGAUAUAUCUAUUGCUGCUAUUACAUGAUGAUUUGGGUGAAAAGCCACUGGUAUUUGUUGUAUGUUGUCAAAGAGUAUCAAGAACUAAUUAGUUACUUCUUGUUAUGUGUUUGUUGAGUAGUGAUGAAGAGGAAGAGAAACUCGAAUGCAGUUAGAACCCAAAAUGGGGAAAGAGAAGCAGAUGGAGAGAUUGAGAUAACGAGUACUUCCAUACUGGAUUUACCUGAUUUUAUCUUCACGAAUGUUGUGCUGUAGCUGCCAAUUAAGGCGAUCAUCAUGUGCAAGUGUGCUUGUAAACCUUAGCGCCGCAUCAUAUCAGAUCCCCAGAUGCAUUACUCUCGUGCACAGCCUUGUCCUCUGGUUUGGACUUUGGGUAACUCACGAGUUUCCAGAAUGCUUUACCUAAUUGACCAUCUGAGGUUAAUCUGAGCUACAAUUCAGAUUACUAUUCUCCUGAUGGGGUCAACUUGAAGCUGGAUACCAGGUUGAAGAUCCCGCUGCGUAAUGCUCAAAUGGUGCCUCAGAAUCCUAGUGAUGCCAACUUGAGUCUUAGCAGUAAGGGUGGCUCUAAGAAGCGUUGCAUGAAUGUGAGAACCAUUAAAGCGAGGACGAAAGAGCAGAAGUUUCAGAUUGUUAAUUCAUGCAAUGGGUUUCUUUGCUUGUCGGAUCCCUCAUGUAACAAUCCCUUGUGUGUAAUCCAGUAACAGGGGAGUAUUUAAACCUUCCAAAGAUAGAUGAAGUUGAUAACAGCCCGAAAGAUAUAGUAUCUUGUGGUUUGGCUUCAGUGAGGAGACUAACGAAUGUAAAGUUAUUAGAAUGUUUGGUCAAGGAAAUCUGGAUUUUUGUAGUUGCCCGAUUACUGGUAAAGAAAUCUUAGAUGAAAGAGUGGCUGAGGUACAUACACUUGGCUCAGGAUCUUGGAGACACAUUGGUCAUGCUCCACCUUAUAGCUGUGAACUAAAAUUUCCUUCUUAUCUAAAUGGAUCUCUUCAUUGGAUAUGUGUAGAUGACUGGAAGUUCGACUUCAUGUACUCUUUUGACCUUGGCCAAGAGCAAUUUAGAAGCAUUAAGCCAUCUUCUUUAAAGAAUGGCAUGAAGGGUUGGGAUAGUCUGCAUAAUAUGAGCAUGGGCGUCUUAAGAAGUAGCUUGUGUUUGUGUGUUGGCUCAGUCCAUGAUAAAAUCCACAUAUGGAUUAUGCGGAAAACCCAAAACUUGGAAAAAUUCAUUUCCAUUCAGUUGUCUUUUGAUGAUAGGUGGCCUGUUGGUGUGCAACAGCCCAUAAAUUUCUUGGAAAGUAAAGGGUUGUUGAUGUUUCGGAACCCUAAAAGUGCAUUCCUGUACUAACAUCAAAACUGAAUUUGAAGUAGUUGCUCAUACCCCAAGUUUCAUCUCGUUCAAGGAUGUAGUGAUGGGAGAUAAUGCUGAGAUACUGAAUAUCAAUUCCGGAUGAUGGUUUACUACAUCUUAUGGUGUUUAAAUAAAUUACUCUUUUUUGCUAUUCCUGCAUUUUGUCUGCUUCAUACUGUACUAGUUAUUAGGUAUUGAAAAUUCGUUAUGUCUGAUGAAACUGAGAAUGCUUUGACCUUUGCAAGCGAUAGACAUAUAAGUUCUACCUUAUAUUGCAUAUUUUUGGGUAAAAAAUUAAUUGUCACACACCAAGUCUUUUCUGCCAUGUUGAGAACUUAACUUCCUCUGUUACUUGCAUGAUGAGAUCAUGAAUACCACAGCAAACUCGUAUCUUCUGAUGAAUUGUGCUUACUUUGGUUACUGGCAUUCUCCAUUGCCAUCGAUUCACUGCCUUUCAUCUCCAUAUGAUCCUAAUUGUCGAGCUCAAACCUGCAUUGACAUGGAGAUGAAAGGAUCAUAUGGCAAAAGAGUUGCUGAAAUGCUGUCAGCUUUAUGGUCUGUGUUUGCUAAAUGUACUCCAAUUGAAUUAUUGCUGAGUGGGUUCAUUACUUUAAAGAGUUGUACCAAGAUAUACAGUAGUAAACAUGCUGGACUUUUCAUCCGUAAAAUGAACCUGGAUGCUAAUAUUCAGUGCAGUUAUGUGCAUUAACCAUAUCCAGUGGUAUCCAUCCACUGGCUAAAUUUCUUUUCGACAUUCUUUACAAAUUUUAGUACUUGCAGAAUCCAGUAGUGAUGCUUCAAAGGUUUGAUUUCUUUGAUAUGAUAUAGGUGCAAUGAGUCCAAGCUGCUGGGAGGAACCAAAGCUCUCUUCUUGGUAGAAGAACUCAGGGAUUUGGAGAUGGACACAGAUUCCUCUUAUUACAGCGACCAAGAAUGAUCUACUGCAGAUUAGCACACUUGGGAAAGCAACUUGAAAUGUUUUGAGAACUUAGUGCCUGCAGUUGAACUUGGAAGCUGUUUUCCCCUUUGUUAUUGCGAAUCUACAUGCUUUUGCUAAGUUAUAAUUUCAUGAUAACUAUUUUAAAACAAUGCGAGCACCUCCUUUAGAUGUAUGACUGAUUUGAAGCUUGAUGUUUUAGUCAUCAGCAACCCAUGGAAAUGUUUACUCUCUUUCAAGUUACUCUGUCCACCUAUUAUGUAUGGUAGCAACAAUUAGACCUCUCUAAGAGAGGCUCUUAAAACACGCAUCCGAUUCUCGGCACCUUAAGGGAAUCGGACACCUUAAGGAGUCCCUUAUCGAGUCUCAUUCUAAAAAUUUGACAUAUGUAACAAUUCAUGUGAUUUCUCUAAUUCAAUCCUGCCCGAAACGUAUUUGGCUAUUCUUUUCGCUUGAAUAUUAUGAAAUCCAGUCAGUGCAUUAAUGAUCCAACCAAUGAGAAAUCAUAUCAAACAAAAAUCCAUAAACCCUAAAUCCAUAAUCAGAAUUAUUCUAAAUCCUCUUAGCAUCCGAUGUUUUCCGUCACUCUUUACACCUUUUUUUAUUUGAAUAUUUGUGGUUGAUUUGGAAUUCCAGAAAAUCACUAUCAAAUAUCUGUGAUUUACUUGACUUGGAAUUCUAAAAAUUACUACUCCUUUUAUGAAAAAUAAAUUUGUUUGAAGAUGUUAAAUUUUUAGGAUGAGACCCAGUAGAAAGCUCCUUAAGGGAGCUGAGGAUCCGAAAUUAGUGCCAUUCUCAAAAGAUUAGUCCUACAGAAAUUUCAUGAAGUAUAGAAUACAUGAAAAGUUUCCUUUUCUCGUAAGUUGGAUUUGUUUUUGUUUCAAAACCCCUCUUUGCUUUCCGUAAUAGGUGGUUUUUGCAAUUUUCCCAUCAACAUCAAUUUUCCAAGGGACAAUCUUUAACAUGCAUUUACCUUACAAAAAGUGCAAGUAUAUUGUGAGGUAUCAUGUGUUGGCAUAUUAUAAGAAUUUUUUCCGAAAGAAUAUGAGAAGUCCAAAAGAAAAAUCUAGAAUUGGAAAAAUUUUAAGAAUAAAAUCGAAUGUGAUUAAUUUUGAUUAUAGUUGAAAAUUACAAGGUAAAAUACAGGUUUAUAAACAUAAUUUUCUGAAUACCAUAUAUGAUCAACUCUAAAUUUUGUUUUCUGAAAAUGUAUCAAAAAGUUCAAAAAUGACAAAAGCAAGUACGUACAAAAUCCUAGCGACUCUGCUUUCUAUUUUCCGCCAUUGAAGUAAACUGCAGGCCAAUUUGGCGCCAAGUCACAAUUCCGGAUACAUUUGGGCUUGCCCCUUCAUCUCUCUCUCUCUCUCUCCCAUUUUCAAACUUUUCUCUCAGGUACACAUUUCUCUAUCUGACUAUCAGUAAUCUCCAGAAAAAAAUUAAUUUAUUUACUCCUUGCAAUCUAGGAGUUUGUGGAAAGUUUUUUUUGGCUAAAUGACUUUGAUCAAUGUAUAUGUAUGUUUUUCUUUUUUCUUUUGAUAUUGUGAUUGCAGAGCAAUAGUCUUGCAGAUGAUUAUCUUUAUUAAUGGGCUUCUUGUAAAUGAAAACUCUUGAAAUUUACAUCUGCGGACCGAUACUAACUUGUUUCGAAUUGGGAUUUCUGUAUUUUUGCAUGAAAUCAAGAAAUAUGUUUCGAAUACCAAUGAAGAAAAAAAGGAACUAAACAUAAUUUGUGGUCUUUUUAUAUGAUUUUUCCGACUUUACUUAUGAUUGUUCAGAUUUUAAAGGCUUCUAUAGAAUGAAGAUUUAUACAUUUCUCGUAUUGAAUGAUGAUGUGGCUAAAGUUUUUGCUCCUCAGAUGUCUGUUUCAUGUUGUCACACAAUAUCUUGAACUAAUUUGUUGCUGCCUGUUAAGUGUUGAUGUUGAUCGAUUUUUUGCUUUGGACUUUCUUGUAGAGUAAUGAUGAAGAGGAAGAGAAACUCAAAGGCAGUUGGAAGCCAACAUGUGGAAAGAGAUGCAGAUGAAGAGACUGAGACAAAGAGUACUUCUAUACUGGAUUUACCCGAUUUUAUCUUUAAAGAUGUUGUGCUGCGACUCCCACUCAAGGCAAUCAUCAUGUGCAAGUGUGUUUGUAAACCUUGGCGCCGUAUCAUAUCAGAUCCUCAGUUUGCUAAGAUGCAUUUUGCCAGUGCACAGCCUUGUCCUCUGGUUAGGACUUUGGGUAACUCAAGAGUUUCAAGAAUGCUUACCUAAUUGAACCGUCCGAGAUUAAUGUGAGCUACAAUUCAGAUAACUAUUCUCCUGAUGGGGUUAAUUUGAAGCUAGAGACCAAGUUGAAGAUCCCGCUGCGCAAUGCUGAAAUGGUGCCUC